rnacentral:lncRNA from 1 species
GACCUAGCCAGAUAACACAUGCAAAUGACCCACAAGGCUUUGGCAUUUUGUUGAUUGUUAUUUGCUCUUUUCUAAUUGCAUUCAAGCAUAUUUGGAGAUCACGUUACUUAAAACUUGAAGACACCAGUGCCAUCGCAGCUUAAUCGAAGGUCUUCCACAGCUUGAUGCCUUCGAUGUAACUAACUGGUGGCAUAACAAGGCACAGGAACCAAGAACUAUGAAGGACUAAGAAAGGUGGCCAAAAGGGGUGAAUAGGAGCCAAUAAGAUUUCUUUCAAAACUUGGUCGUUGUCCCAAGUCACACCCAAAGCCCUAGAAAACCCCAAGUCACACUAGAUGAAAUUUAUCAAUCUGUGACGGAUUUUGGGUGAUGGAUUUACAAGUAAUAACUAACAAACAUAAUUCGUGACAAUAUUCUUUUUUCGUCAUGUAUGAGCCCACUAAAUAUUUUCGAGCCACUGCUGCACGUUCGGCCAUUAGCAUCGGUCGCCUGUUGUCCCGGUUCCCGAAGCGGUGCUGCCAUUCCGGGACUAAAGGCCCACCCUUUAGUCCCGGUUCAGGGAACCGGGGCAAACUGAACCGGGGCUAAAGCCCCCCUUUAACACCGGUUAGUUAUACCAACCGGUUUUAAAGGGUCUACCAGGGCUGCCAUGUUAAAGGGUUUUUUUUUGUUUUUUCGGUACAUUUCUUCGGUUCUGUUUAUUGUUUAUAUAUAAUAAUAAUAAUAAUAGGUUUGUCAAUACAUAUUUUAUACUAAUAUAAUAAUAUAUAUACUACACGCAUAUUAAGCAUAAAUAUUAUAUAGGCUUAGCUUUAUAAUUAAGCUUUGCCUAUAAUAAAACAAAUAGGCCUAAUAAUUAAAUAGAUGGAUAUAUAAAAAGCUUUAUAUAUAGUUUUAUAAGUACAAAAUUCGUAACACAUAUAUACAUAGAGUUUUUUUUCUCCGAAUCUCUAAAGCCAAUACAAAUGACCAUCGUGGUUUAGAAUAAGAGUUUCAUUGCCGUUGAAGUGAAACUCGCCGUUUGGAUUGAUCACUUGCUCGCGGAGGAAUCCUGCUAUCGUCUCUUGAAUAGCUUUGAUGCGGCCUUUUUGCAUGACCUUUUCCCUUAACCAUUUCGUCUUCAAUUUGAAAUAAAAUAAAAAAGUAUUAGUUAUCUAAGUUAUUCAAUAUAAUUCAGGAGAUAAUAAAAAGAGACAUGUAACGUACUCUGAGCGUCUCUGUGGUUGUUUGAUCAUCAAUAAUUUGCACAUGUAAUAUGCACAUAGGUUGUUCCCCUUCUUGUCUUAAACACCACUGUACGAUAUAUUAAAAAAGAUUCAUGACCACGACAAUAAAAAAGUUAAAAGUUAGCGAAAGUUUGCUAGCUAGUACAACUUACUUGUGGAUGAAUUAUAUUAAGCGGCACUUUACAACAAAUGACAUGUUCACAGUCAAUAAAUCUUUCCCAAACCCUACACACAGCCAUUGUGGAUCGUCAACUAGUUAUAUCAUGAUAUUCUUCUAGCUGAUAUCGACAAUACGUACCUUUGAAUAAUGUUUACCAUUUGUUGGUAAUUUUCUUGCGGUUUUCUCAUUGAGUCAUAAAUUAUCAACCGGUUCUUGGGAAUUUCAAUGACCAUGAGUAUCCAGUGAAAACUGUUUACACAUAUAUAUAGUCAGGCCUAUAAUUGUAUAAAAUCCGAAUCGAGUUAUAAUAAGUAAAAUAAAAUGUGCAUACACUUAAUAACUAUAUAACUCACUCGAAGUUGUAGGAGAAGAGUAUUUUUUGUUUUUCUUUUUGGUGCAGACUUCUGUCUCAUGAGAUGUUGUCCACGCUGCCUGCGGAGCCUUAAAAACAAUAUAAGGGUCAACGAACCCAAUACUAUUGUCAUUUUUGCUUCUGAGCUCUCUCAUUUGGUGCCUGCAUAUAUACAUACAAAUCUUAAGUGUAUAAGGAUUAUAUACAUAUAAUUAAAGAAGGUAGAAGUUUAAAAAAAAGAAAGAAAUACUAAAGCAGCUGACGAGAGAUUUGUCGACACCGUCGUGGUGACAUAAUUGGUGUAAUUCUUCUAACUGGACGUAUAUGAGGUCAUCUCCAUGGAAGUAGUGAUGUUGUCGAAUACGAACAGAAAUCCAAUUAUCUUCCCUUUUAGACGCCUCUAUGGACCACUUGUUUAUUGCAAACAUUUAUGUGCUGAGCUCAUGUAAAUGCUGAGGGUUCAUUAGACUUCUGUCCGGAUCAUAUCUUGCCCUCCAUUGAUCAACUACCUCAGCCUUUUCAAAUGUGUGACGUCCAGCAAUGACGGCAAUGUCUUCAAUAUUUAGACCGCUCUGUCCAAAGUAAUGCUCAAGCGAAUCUAGCUCAAACAAGAUAAAAGAUUGCUUUGGCAUCAAGUCCUCAUUUGAGCUGUAUUGAUUUGGCACAAUCAAUGGGGGCACCGGUUUUGAUACUUCCCCGAGCUAUGGGACUCCCUUUCCUACUCUCUUUCUAGGCUGUGCAGACUUGACCAGAGAGCGCUCAUAGUCCGAAAGUGCUGGCUUCUUCUGAGCUUCCCGCUGCUUCUUUUGGUGGUCCGCCACCUUCUUCCUUAGUUCCUCUGCUUUUAGUUCCUCUGGCUUUACAUAGAAGUACGGCUUUUUUGGGUUCCGCCACUCUUUCGCUUUCUGGUUCAAUUUAGCGAACCAUUGUUUCACCUCAGCUUUGGACGUAGCAAUUACCUCCUCUUUACUCUUUUUAUAAGGUAAUUUCUCUGGUGUCUUAGCUUUCUUUGCUAAGGCAGCCUUCUUUGGAGGUGGGACCGAUGACUUCGGUCAUUCUGUGGUGGACCGCUUCUGACUGCCUCGCUUUGGAGGCGAUGGGACUGACCGUGUACUCUUUGGAGAGGGCGGUGCAGGCGGUCGAGGCGGUGGGCUGAUCUUUUUGGAGUUGGCGACCUCGGUGGAGGAGGUGGAGAUCACGGUGGAGGCGGUGGCAGGGUCGGUGCGGCCGCCGCAGGUGUUGGAGGAGAUGGGCUUGCAGACAUUCCAUCAAAUCCAGCAUUGUCACCGCCCACAGCACUAUGAUGCGCUGGGGAAAGAACUGGACUUAGGUUGGUGGAGUCCUUGCCGAGAAAACAACAAGUUUUGUGAGCAAACUUUAUUUAAAUGCAAUAUAUAAAUAAUAUAAGAAGUAAAAUCACACACAAACCUAUGGUGAGGAAGAGGCGACAGUGACACUCCUAGAAUAAUUAUGAAGCGCUUGCGCCAACAAAUAAACGUCUUCUCAGCUUCACCUAAGGUUUUCUCUCCGUCUCCCCCUUCUAUUUCAAGAGGCACACUGCCACAACCUCUCUCAACCAUAUCAACCAAGACACUAGCAUAUCCAGUCGGUACUGGUCGACUAUGGAUUCUUGGAGUUCUUGUUCUCGUUCGGUCGAUAGGGUUGACAACACCAAUAGCCACCUUUUUUGUUGCAUUCCCAUCUGGUACAUGCAGCUCACAAGUAGUAAAAGCGUCUAUGACAUCAUCCAUGGGAAAGUGUAGCUUCGUGUCAUCCUGAAUGGUUGGUACUUCCGUGGAUGCGCAACUGCUUUUCAAAUGGCCCGGGGGGCUAAUGUUGACCUCAGGCUGUGAUGUACCUUGCCCUUUCGUCAUUUGACUAAGUGCUUCUUGUACUUUCCUUUUAAUCUCCGCCUGCAUCCAUUCUUCAUGAGAUUUCUCACGCUCUUCUGACUACAUAACAAAAGCUUCUAGCCGGCGGAUCCACUCUGCCUCCUUGUCCUUCUUUCUCUGGCGGCUUCUGUAGGUUUGUCGAUGAGCUUCGAAUGAAUGCAGCCACGGAACUGCCCCAUAGCCUCUCAUACAUCCACCGUGCUUAGGAUUUUCAAGCGCGUACGUGAGUUCAUUCUGCUUCUUGUUGCGACUGAACUCACCAGACUGAACCGCCUCUCGUGCACGGACUAGUCUCUCUGCUGCUCUAGAGAUUUCUUGGCCCCAAACUAGCGCCCCGGUGUCUGGGUCCAUGCUUCCUCCAUGACCGUAUAACCAAUGCUUGGAGCGCUCGCUCUAAUUCUUUACUAUUGUCUUAGGUGUGACCCCCCUAGCAAGCAUCUCUUGUUCCAUUCGGUCCCACUUGAGAACGGUACUCUUAUAACCACCUGAUCUCAUAUGGUGGUAUGUCAUUUUACUUGCAUUCUCUUGGUUCCUAAUGGCUCAUUCCUCGCCCUCUUCUAAUGUUUUGUACUACACGAAGUCAUCCCAGAAGGCCCUUAGCUUUACAUAUUGCUUGAGGUUGAAAUUUAAGAUCUCGUUUUUCUUUACAAAUUUAUUGUACAAAGUCUUCUUCCAAUUCUGGAACAGUACCGCCAUCUUCUUGAUGGUCCAGUCAUAAAUUCGCGCCUUCAACUCUUCAUUCUUGGUGUCAAAGGAGAAAACCGCCGUGACGGCUUUCCAAACUAACUCCUUGUCCCGAUUAGAGAGAAAACUGAUUUCAGGAGCACCUCGCUUCUCUCUCCAUUCACGAGCACUGAUCGGUAUUUGGUCUUUCACAAGGUAACCACAGUGACCAACAUAUUUAGUUGCAUGUUCACCAAGUGGUCUGCCUAUAGCUGUCUCAAAUUCAGAUAUUACGUAGCGGCCCUCCAACGGCUUCUUUGGCCCUCGUGGAGGUACGCUUCUCCCCGUAGAGGUCGAUCAUGAAGGCUACACGUAAAUAUAGAAACAAAAAUACUAAAUUAAUAACCAAGUAAGUCUAAAACCUAAUAUAAGAGAUGCAUUAUAUAUGUUUACAUUUACAUACCUCACCGGUAUUUCGUUCUUGUUGCACGACGAGUUGUUGCUCAGGCACAUUGCCCUCUUGUUGCUAAGUCGGAUUGUCUUGCAUGAGCUCGUUGUAAUCAGCAAAGUACUCACUACCGUCGUCGAUCAUAUUUUGAAUGACAUCUUCCAUAUAAUCAGAAUCAUCGUGAGGACGGUCGACCUAUAUAUAUAUGUAUAAACAUAUAUAUAAGAUAAGAAAACAAUAAUACUAGGAUAAUAUACUAAAAAAAUAAUACUGAAAAAAUACUACUAGAAUAAUAGUACAAACAAUAAUAUAUACAAAAUACUAGAAAAUAAAAUAUAAAUUAGAGACUUAUAUACUACUACUAGUACUACUACAAACGAAAGUGCUGGAGUGCUCCAAACUAAAAAAUAAUACUAGAAUAAUAGUACAAACAAUAAUAUAUACAAAACACUAGAAAAUAAAAUAUAUAUUAGAGACUUAUAUACUACUACUAGUACUACUACAAAUGAAAGUGCUGGAGUGCUCCAAACUAAAAAAUAAUACUAGAAUCUUUUAAGCCAAGUAAUACACUAGAAUAAUAUACUAAAAAAUAAUACUACAAAAUAAUACUAUAAUAAUAGUACAAACAAUAAUAUAUACAAAACAAUAGAAAAUAAAAUAUAUAUUAGAGACUUAUAUACUACUACUACAAACGAAAGUGCUGGAGUGCUCCAAACUAAAUAAUAUUACUAUAAUAGUAUACUAAAAAUAUACUAGCACAAUAUAAUUCAUAACAAUUCAAAACACUACAUGUAUACUAGAAUAAUAUACUAAAAAGUAAUACUAGAAUAAUAUACUAGCAUGCAUUAUUUUUUAGUGUAUAUAUAUACUUAAAUAUAUAUACAAUUCAUAACAAUUCGAACACUACAAUUCAUAAUAUACAUGCAUUUUUUUAGUCUAUAUAUAUAUAAACUGUUGGUAUAUAUAUCAUAUAUAACAUUAUUCAUUUAUUUUUUUAGUAUACUUAAUAUAUAUACAACUCAGAACAAUUCAAAACACUACAAUUCAUAAUAUACAUGCAUUUUUUAGUCUAUAUAUAUAAACUAUUGGCAUUCAUAGAUCGAUCUAGUACGUUGGAGAUGGUCGGUCGGAGUUCGAUCGAUGGAGAUGGUUGCCCGUGCCGGUGGAGAUGGCCCCUAUGGCGGCGCUGGUGGAGACGGCCGCGGCGGCGCUGGAGACAGCCGCGGCGGCUUGAAGUUGAACGGCAGCGGCGCUGAAGACGAACGGCGGCGCUGGAGACGAACGGCGGCGCUAGACAAGGCGGCGGCUCAGCUUUGCUCGACGAAGACGAAGACAAAGGAACUGUGAGAUCCAGGACGCCUAUGCGCUUAUAUAGGGGUGGACCCUUUAGCACCGGACCGUGGCUGAAACCGGUGCUAAAGGAUCUUUAACACCGGCUUGUAACAUGAGCCGGUGUUAAAAGGUGAUAACACACCACCCAGUGCUAAAGGGACCCUUUAGCACCGGUUCCAGCCACGGACCGGUGCUAAAGGGUCCUCAGACGGGCUCAAGCGGGGUCCUGAAAUUUUCAGAAUCCUUUAGCACCGGUUCCAACCAUGGACCGGUGCUAAAGGGCCAGUUGAAAGCCCAAGUUUGGUUUUGGUAAUUAAUGACACCAAGUUACUAAUGCCUUGUGUUUAAGUGAUUUGAGUUAGGCAUAGCAACACAUGUGAUGAAGGUGCAUGGUGGUAUGGAGAGGUGGCCACAUAACUACAAAGGGAUGAAGCAUGAAGUGAAGAUCAUGGUGAUAGACGAGGAGCAAAGUUAUCAAGGCAAAGGUAUAAACAUAGGGUUUUACUUUUGCCGGUCUAAGAUGAGUAGAGAAGUGAUUGACCGGGUUUAGGAUAGAUAGCCGACUAUCAAGAGGGGAAAUCACGGUCAUCUCUCGAAUCAAGUGUUACUAAGUCUACAUCUUGAGCAUAUGCAUUAGGAUCUAGUAAAGUGCUAACUUAACUCCUUUGGUGAAAAUGUUUGUGAAAAGCUAACACACAUGCACUUUGGUGGUGGACACUUCUUGGUGUUAGCACAUUUGCAAAGGAGGUGGAGUUCCUAGGGUUGAGAGGGGUGUGGCUUUUGAGAAAAAUAAAUGUAUAUUUUCUAUUGCGCCGAUGGGAAAUUUGGAGAAGUCGCGGGAAUGUUUUCUCACUGAGAAACACUCACCGAACGCUGAGUGCAGAGGCACCGGACGCUGGCCUUAGAGUCCGGUGUGCUUGACCCUGCUAGGGUUGAGCACCGGACGCUCCGUGAGUGCGUUCGGUGGUUAACGUCCGGUGUGCGGGCGUUUUGCGACCCUCUCUGCGCAUGGGUCCGGUGAGCACCGGACGCUACCGGUACUUAGCAUCCGGUGACCCUGCGGUUUGCGGAGCUCUCUGCGCAUGAGUACGGUGUGCACCGGACGCGUCUGGUGUGAACCUACAGAGCGUCCGGUGGUGCGCAGGUGACCGUUAGAAUCUGACACGCGGGAUUCAAGAAGGACACGUGGCCUACCCCUGAGCACCGGACGCAGGGGGUAGAGCGUCCGGUGAUCACUUGGUAGCGUCCGGUGCCCACGAUUUCAGCCUAGUGAAAGUUGCCAACGGCUAGUUUCUUUGAGGGGCUUAUAAAUUGAGGGUGGCCGGCUUUGGGGAGUACUCUCUUGCACUUUUAAUUACUUGAGGCAUACAUUGAGCUAGAGAACACUCCCUCCACUCAUCUCCUUGCUUGAUUGCUAAUCCUAGUGAGAUUGAGUGAGAUUCAAGUGCAUUGCUUUGAGAGUUGCAUUUAGUGGCACUUGAUUCUUGAGUUUGCUGCGGAUUUCUUGUUACUCUUGGGUGUUUCCCGACGCCCUAGACGGCUUGGAGCAGCGGUGGUGUUGAGCUUGUGAUUGGAGAUUGUUUCGAGCCUCACCAAGUGAUUUGUGUGGGGUUAUUGAGCCUUCCCCGCGGGAGAUCGCAAUUGGCUACUCUAGUGGAUUGCUCGUGGCUUGGAGGAUCCCCAUCUUGUGAGUGGAUGUGCGGCACCCGCUGAGGGUUUGGCUUUGGAUUGCCAAUUAGCUCGUGAUCCAUCAAGUGGGUGUAUCGCCACAACGAGGAGUAGCUUGCCGGGAAGCAAGUGAACCUCGGUAAAAAAUCUUGUGUCAUCUCUUGUCGAGGAUUCUCUUGUGAUUGUGAGUGAUUAAUUGGAUAUAUCUCUACUCUACAAUGUUGGUAUAACAAUCACUCUCCACUCCUUACUUUCUUGUAUACCUUGCUAGUUGUUUAGCUUGUUUAGUUUAGUCUUCUUGUUUAGGAGUGUAACUAGCCUUCUCUUGUUGUUGUGCUUUAGUGUUUAGCUUUGAACUAGUUUGUAUAGGUGGCUUGCAUAGCUUAGUUGAGCUAGUGCUAGAAUUGCUUCGCCAUUUGUUUUACUAACUCACUUGCUUUGUAAAGUUUGUAGAAAUUUUAAAUAGGCUAUUCACCCCCCCUCUAGCCAUUUGGACCUUUCACCUGUGCACGUUUGUUUUUUAGGUUUAGCUUUUUAAAGUGUUUAUAUAUACACUAUACAUUAUUAAUUGUAUAGUAAAUUAAAUAUUUUGCAUAAUAUUUUUUAAAAAGUGACAUGAAUUUUAUUUUUAUUUAAUGUACACAUGAAAAAUUUUAACAUUAAAUAUCUUAGUGUAUUUUUAAAAUUUUCAAAAAGUUUGUAACUAAUGUUUAGUAUUUGUUAAUGCAGAAAUAUAUUAUUUCAAUAAAUUUUAAAAAACUAUAUCCAAUCAACGGGAAAUCUAUUUUCAAAUCAAAUUGACGUUAAACUUUUUAUUUUUGUCAUUUAUUACUCAGAAUGCGAGUAGGGUACAAUUUUUAUCAAAUAAAAAAUCUAUUUAUCAUAUAAAAAUGUAGAUCUUGAUGAAUACACACUUUGACAGAACACUAGAUGGUCCCAAAUGGAAAAGUCAUGAAUACAAAGUUUGUUACACUCGUCAAAUUCUACAUUUGAUCUAAUGCUCCCAACUAUAUUUGAAAAUGGAUUGGUUAUCCAUAAAUGAAAAUAAAGAAAGCUUGAUUUUUUUUGUUUCGGCUUGUCGAAAAUCGGUCGGUUGGGUUGGUCCGACCAAGAAAGGCAUGAGAGUGGAGAGGCGGAAGUGAAAGACUGGCUACCAAUAAAGAUCCCUCACUGCACACUUUCUAUAGUUCUGUAUCCAGGAUCGGGCCUUGUUUACUUCCACCCAAAAAACCAAAAUUUUUCAAGAUUCUCCGUCACAUCGAAUCUUUAGACGCAUGCAUGGAGUAUUAAAUAUAGACGAAAAUAAAAACUAAUUGCACAGUUUGGUCGGAAUUGAUGAGACGAAUCUAUUGAGCCUAGUUAGUCCAUAAUUAGACAAUAAUUACCAUAAACAAACGAAAGUGCUACAGUGUCUCGAAAUCUUUUCGUUCAGGAAGUAAACAAGGCCUCGGCUGCAUGCUCUAGUAUGGAAUCGGGUGUUUUCAUUUGUAAAACUUUGAACCACUCAAUUUUGAAUUUUGAAAAAAUUCAUAGCCACGCAUUGGUUUUCGAAACCCUAGAUGGUCUCGACUGGAAAAGUCAUGAAUACCAAUAUUGUUCUACUCAUCAAGAUCUACAUUUAAUAUAUAGACCAUUUUUACAUUUGACAAAGUGUUGGGAAGGUGUAGUUGAAAAUCCACAAUUCUCACAUAUAGUUUCAUAUAGUUUGUGUGCGAUUCAAGAUUUGGUGGAUAUUAGUAACUUAAACUUUCUCAAAUGGAAAAAUUGUCUAUAUAAAAAGUUUUGAUCUUCAUGAUAUCUGACAACUUGGUAUUCAAAUUUUUUCAUUUUAAAUAAUUUAGUUUGUCAUUUGACCAAGUUUGACCAAAAUCUGUCUUGGAUUUUAAACACAUGUGCUUAGGAUUGACUCAAAUUUAUCCAAAUGGAAAAAUGGAUAAUAUAUCAAAUAUAGAUCUUCAUGAUCUCUAACAACUUUGUAUUCAAAACUUUUUCAUUUCAAGUCAUCAAAUGGGUCAUUUGACCAAGUUUGACAAAAGUCAAAGAAUUGGUUUUUAGAAACACACACUUUGACCGAACCCUAGAUGGUCCCAAAUGGAAAAGUCAUGAAUACAAAGUUUGUUACACUCAUCAAGUUCUACAUUUAGUCUAAUGGUCAACGUUUCAUUUGGAAACGUUUAAACCACUCAAUUUUGAAUUUUGAAAGAAUUCAUAGCCACACAUCGGUUUUCACAACCCUAGAUGGUCUCAACUAGAAAAGUCAUGCAUACCAAUAUUGUUCCACUCAUCAAGAUCUAAAUUUAAUAUAUAGACCAUUUUUACAUUUGACAAAGUGUUGGGAAGGUGUAGUUGAAAAUCCACAAUUCUCACAUAUAGUUUCAUACAGUUUGUGUGAGAUUCAAGAUUUGGUGGGUAUUGUUAACUUAAACUUUCUCAAAUGGAAAAAUUGUCUAUAUAAGAAGUUUGGAUCUUGAUGAUAUCUAACAACUUGGUAUUCAAAAUUUUUUCAUUUUAAGUAAUUUAGUUUGUCAUUUGACCAAGUUUGACCAAAACCCGUCUUGGAUUUUAAACACAUGUGCUUAGGAUUGGCUCAAAUUUAUCCAACUGGAAAAAUGGACAAUAUAUCAAAUGUAGAUCUUGAUGAUCUCUAACAACUUUGUAUUCAAAAUUUUUUUCAUUUCAAGUCAUCAAAUGGGUCAUUUGACCAAGUUUGACCAAAGUCAAAGCAUUGGUUUUUAGAAACACACACUUUGACCGAACCCUAGAUGACCCCAAAUGGAAAAGUCAUGAAUAAAAAGUUUGUUACACUUAUCAAAAUCCACAAUUCUCACAUAUAGUUUCAUACAAUUCUCACAAUUCUUACAUUUUACAACACAUACUAUUAAUCAUGACUUUAUAUUAAGCGGGCACAACAGUGAACUUCUUCUUGACGUAUGACCCUUGGUUAUGAUCCUGCCGUAACCAUGGAGUAUCCUCAUUGUUUAACAAAAUGCUUGGGUCUUUGUUGACUAUGAAGGGCGGAAUUCGGUCAUCCCUUUUGUAAUUGCCUGACAUAUCUGACUUGUCCUCAAUUCUCGCAAUGUUUCUUUUCCCAGAAAGGACAAUGUGGCGCUUUGGCUCAUUGACGAUUGAGUGGUCAUCAUUUUUUCCUCUCUUUGGUUUCGUAGACAUGUCUUUCACAUAGAACACCUAACUCACAUCCGCAGCAAGGACGAAUGGUUCAUCUUUGAACCCCACUAUUGUUAAGGUCCACGGUUGUCAUCCCAUACUCCUUGUCGACUGUUACCCCACCUCCGAUCAUCUUCACCCAUUGGCACCGGAACAAGGAACUUUAAAAUUAACUGCAUAGUCUAGUUCCCAUAUGUCUUCUAUGCGUCCAUAAUAUGUUUGUCUGUUCCCAUUUGGAUCCGUGGCAUCCACACAUACACCACUGUUUUGGUUGGUGCUCCUUUUAUCUUGGCCUACUGUGUAAAAUGUGUUACCAUUUAUCUCAUACCCUUUGUACAUGAGGACAUGCCACGAUGGUUAUCUGGUCAACAAAUAAAGUUGCUCAUCAAUGUUUUCAUCACCCUGACAUUUUUGGGCAACCAAUCGCCAAAAGUUUGCAUGUGCUGACGCAUUAUCCAAGCUUCAUUCUUCCCGGGCCACUAGGACCGUAGGAAAUCUUUGUGUACCUCGACAUAUGGUUCCACCAAUGAGGAGUUCUGUAGAACUGUGUCGUGCGCUUUAUUGAAGUAAUCGUCUCUCGUACCAAUAUAUGUUUUCUUUCCAAGUGUUCCCUUUUCACUGAGUCUGCCCUCGUGUCGAGAUUCAGGAAUGCCAAUUGGAUCAAGGUCUGGAAUAAAGUCAACACAGAACUCUAUGACCUCCUCUAUUCUGUAGCCCUUGGCAAUGCUUCCUUUUGGCCGGGAACUACUAUGGACAUAUUUCUUUAGGACACCUAUGAAUAUCUCGAACGGGAACAUGUUGUGUAGGAACACUGGACCGAGAAUAUGAAUCUCUUUGAUCAGGUGAACUAGGAGGUGUGUCAUGAUAUCAAAGAAGGAUGGAGGGAACACCAACUCAAAGCUGACGAGACAUUGAACGACAUCAUUCUGCAAAGUAGCUAGUUGCUCUGGAUUGAUUACCUUCUGAGAAAUUACAUUGAGGAAUGCACAUAGCUUUACGGUGGCUAGACCUACGUGUAGAGGUAAAAUUCCUCAAGUGAAUCCUUAGACUUCCCGUAGACACCCAUGAAUCCGAGCAAGUUCACACAAAGAUUCUUUGUCAGAUGCAUCACGUCGAUCGCGUUGCGGACCUCUAGGACAUUUCAGUAAGGUAGCUCGCAAAAUAUGGAUUUCUUCUUCCACAUGGGUACGUGUCCCUUGGCAUCCUUGGGAAUAGGUUCGCUGCCUCGUUCCUUUCUAAAUACCACUUUUAUAUCCUUGACCAUUUCGAGUACAUCAUCCCUGGUUGGAUUGAGAUGCUUGGUCUGGUGGUCUGCCUUGCCUUUGAAAUGCUUGCCUUUCUUUCGUACUAGGUGGUUCAUAGGAAGAAACUGACGGUGGCGAAGGUACAUGACCUUUCGACAUUUUUUCAAAAAUACACAGUCAAGGUCUUCAUAACAGUGUGUGCAUGCAUUAUAUCCCUUGUUUGACUGGCCUGAAAGAUUACUCAGAGUUGGCCAAUCAUUGAUUGUUACAAACAGCAAUGCUCGUUGGUCAAGUGCUCUUGUUUGUACUCGUCCAACACGCGAACCCCUGGUUUGCUCAAUAAAAGUUAAAGUUCCUCAACUAAUGGCCUUAGGUAGACAUCGAUGUUGUUGCCAAGUUGCUUUAGUCCUUGGAUAAGCACCGGCAUCAUAAUAAACUUCGCUUCAUGCAUAGCCAUGGAGGAAGGUGGUAGAUACAUAGAGUAACUAGCCAAGUGCUAUGACUACUGCUCUGCUCCGCUAAAGGAUUCAUACCAUAUGUUCUUAAGGUGAACCGUAAGUUUCUAGCAUCAUCUGCAAAAUCUAGGAAUUCUCUGUCUAUCGCUCUCCACUGGGAUCCAUCGGUAGGGUGUCUCAGCAUAUUGUCUACCUUAAUACGGUCUUCUUUGUGCCACCGCAACAACUUUGCAUUGUCCUUGUUUUUGAACAGACGUUUUAAACAUGGUAUUAUAGGAGCAUACCACAUAACUUUGGCAGGAAUUUUCUUUCUAUGACGUUCUUCACCCUCAACAUUGCCAGGAUCAUCUCGCUUGAUCUUAUAUGGUGAUGCCUUACAUACCGGACAUGCAUUGAUGCAGUCAUUAGGACAUGCGUGUAUAUUCUAGAUUUCUAUCCCAAAGGGCAGACAACCUGUUUUGCUUCAUACAUAGUGGUGGGCAAUUCGUUGCCUUUCGGAAGCAUCUUUUUCAUGAUGUGCAAUAACUGCCCAAAUGCCUUGUCAGAUGUACCAUUCUUUGCCUUCCUUUGCAGCAAUUCCAGUGUGGUACCCAGCUUUUUUUGCCCAUCUUCAGCGGUGGGAUAUAGCGAUUUCCUGUGGUCCUCUAGUAUGCGUUCGAACUUGGCCUUCUCUUUCUUACUUUCACAUUCUCUUUAUGCAUCACGGAUGGCAUCACCAAAAGCAUCAUCGGCCCGAUCAUCUUCUGCCGCAACCUCUUCUUCAUUAUCUCCCCCAUUUUAACAUCAUCGAAGCCACCGUACUGAGCAAUAAUAUCCGUGUGGUCCAAUUCUUCUUCUUCUUCACCUUCAUCCAUUAUAAUCCCGCUUUCUCCAUGCUUGGUCCAAUAAAUAUAGUUUGGUACGAAACUAGACUUUAAUAAGUGCGAAUGAAGAGUCCUUGAGUUAGAAUAUUCCGUCAAAUUCUUGCACACAACACAUGGACAACACAUGAAACUGUCCGUCUUGUUUGUCUCGGCCACACUUAAGAAAUAGUGCACGCCAUUAAUAAACUCUUUGGAGCACCGAUCGGCAUUAUACAUCUAAUUAUGUGUUACCAUCUACAUUAAAUAUAACAUAUAUAUUAUGAAAACCAUACACAUAUAGUUUCUCAUCUUAUUGCACAACAUGUCUAACACACAUAGUUGAUUAAUUCAAGCAAGCUUGGCUACAACAAAUACAAUCGCAAUUAGCACUAAAAAACUAAAACUAAAAUGCACUUAAGCAACAUAAUUAUGCCUUGUUUAGAUACGAAAAGAUUUUGAUUUUUGCUACUGUAGCACUUUCGUUUGUUUGUGGCAAAUAUUGGCCAAUUAUAGACUAACUAGGAUUAAAAGAUCGUCUCGCAAUUUACAGGUAAACUGUGCAAUUAGUUUAUAUUUUCGUCUAUAUUUAAUACUUCAUACACGUGUCGAAAUAUUCGAUGUGACAGGGAAUCUUGAAAACUUUUUGGUUUUCGGGGUGAACUAAACAAGGCCUUAGUUCGCGUCCGAUCCCAACUAUAAUAGAUAGAUCAUUCGCUUGAUCAACAUCGAUGGACUCCUUUCGCCGGCUCACUGCCUCAUCACCUUCAGCCUCAACCGCCUGUGCAAAAGAUUUCUUGAUGUGUUGAAUGUUUUCUUCCUCCUAGUACCAACCUGUACAUCCGCCGGUACCGUCCCACUGAAAGUAGAUGUGAGAAUCAAAAGUUUAAGUAUUAUCAUUAAAAAAAAUAAGCACAUAUAUAAGCAAAUGUCUGGAAAUAACUCACAUUACGAUCCGGGCACCUAUAGAAUAUACGACCUUUGUUUAUUCCCUCUUUCGACACUUUGUACUCUGUCACAAUCUUCUGACCACACUUGCCGCAAGUAGUGAGAUGGAGUUCCGGCUGGUCUUGCUUUUGAACCCAUUGAGAGACCGAGGACCCGGUCACGGUAGCCAUCUACUAUCCAUACUCAAUUUUUAAACAAUUAUAAAUUCCACAUUUUCUAGUAAACAUGUAUGAUUAAAGAAGAACCUAAUAAUAUUCUUUAUUUGUCUAGUUACUUCAAUAAAUUUUCUAAAUUAUACAAUGGAUAUUAUGUAGUAAUAAAAAAUUACCAAGUGACAAACCAAUUAAUUUGAACUAUCCGACUUUCUAAGAUCAUUAUUGUAAACUAUAUACAUUAACUAAAUUCCAAUCCUCUCAUGUUCUAAUAUAUAUAUAAAGAAAAACAGAUUUAAAAGAUACUAUAAUUCAUCGUUGCAAACUACAUUAAUACUAGGUCAACAAUUAUAUAUAUAUAUAUAUAUAUAUAUAUAUAUAUAUAUAUAUAUAUAUAUAUAUAUAUAUAUAUAUAUGGAUACUAAUUCAAGUGAAUGAUUCAAAAAUAACAAAGUGGAUUUGAGCUAAAAAUGAUGGGAAAAUCACAAGCCAAAAAUAAUAUGAAAAAGACAAGGAAGGAUGAAGUUAGUCACCUCCAAGCAUGAAGAGACGAUGACGGAGUCGAAGAAGAUCAACGAUGGGCGUCGGAGAUGAAGAACAAAGGAAAAACAAAAUGCAAGCUCUAAGAACAAUGGUGCUCUCUGGUUUCAAAUGAUCCCCCAGGCAGAGGGAAGGAGAUAGCCGCGGCCUAUAAACCAGACCUUUAGUACCGGUCCAGAGCAUAAACCGGUGCUAAAGGGUCACCUUUAACACUGGUUUGUGCCACGAAUCGGUGCUAAAGGGUUUGGCUCGGCCCAUGGCACUGGCCGGUGCUAAAGGGAACCCUUUGGCACCGGUUGGUAACAAGAACCAGUGCUAAAGGGUCCCUGCCCCGACAGCACUUGUCAGUAGCCAUUGGGCAGGCCCCUUUAGCACCGGCCCGUGUUACAAACCGGUGCUAAAGGGGUCUUUAUCCCCAGGCCGCGAAAAUACCGAGGUUUUUGGUGAUUUUGGGCAUCGACUAAUGCCUCGUUCUGUAGUAGUGAGCCCGCUAACUCAUGUAUGAUUUUGAAUUUGUCAUACUCUAGUUUUUUUUAAUUUCGUCAUAUACUAGUUAGCCCAAAACAACAGGCCCUAUCAAUAUUUGGUGCAAAAAAAAAAGAAAAUAUGGUUGCAAAAAGUAUCAAACUCAAAGAAAUUAAGUUCAAAGAAAAACCCAAAAGACAAUUUGUUAAAUUAUUUUAACAAAAUAUAAUUUUGUGACUUUGUUACUUGUAUAUUAUGCAUAUGGUAAAACUAAAAAUAUUCUCGACAUAUAUGAUGCGGUUGGGAACAACAAAAUUUUGCAGCACAUGGGAUUCCCAACAACCUGCGGGGAACUAGCAAAAUGUCUUACCAUUUGAGAUACUCAUUCUAUGACUCUUAAUUUCCUCACUUUAAGUAUUUUUAUUUAUUUAUUACUGGCCCAGCAUCACAGUCCCUCAAGCUGACCCAGCAUUUUUGUUUCUAAGAUUAAUUGGAAAACAAAAAAAAACGGUUUGCGGGAGUUGGACCCACGACCUGCGACACGACAACAGACUGCCUUACCACUACGUUAAUUUUCACAAUGACAAAAUUGUCAAAAUUUAUUUUCCUUUCCUGUUAACCCAAAAUGGCCAAAAUUUAUGAAACCAAUUUUUACAGUUCUGGUAACAUGGUCUGUGCAGCAAUUUUUAGAAAUCUGUUGUUUGACACUAAAUAGUGGGGUCAACCUAUAUCAAAAAUUCCAUUUUCAUACAGUUUCUUAUUUUUCAUGCUUCCUCUUUGUUUGCUUGCCAAGCUUUUAACCUUUUCUGUAAAUGGUUGUUUGAUCAUAAUGUAGUGUCUUAUGAAACCUUGGUAUGAAGCUACUAUGCUUUAGGUGAAUUAAAGUCUUGUCUUCUCUGUCGGAGAAAAGAUAUGCACCUACUACUUGGUAAUGAACUCACCCUUAAUUACUACCAUUAAUUUUAGGUCAUAACUGAUCUGCUAUACUUGACAACACUCACAUGACCACCGGGUCUGAUACAAUUGACCGGCAUAAUCAGCAUAGCCAUAUGGACAUUGGAGGUGAUGGAUUCUUACUAUAGUUCUAUAAGUUAUGUUUGUAUGACGAAUGCUUUCUUUCUUGCUGCCCUUGUUUAGAUGGCUUCACCAUCAUAAUGACAACACCCUUGUGGCUGAUGUAGUUGAUGGCCUUACCCAACAUGGUCACCACAACCAGAUUACCAAUGCAGGUGAUAGUUUGUUCAUCUAUUUUUCAUAUUUGUUAUUGUCUCAGUUGAUCAAUAUUUCUAUGCAAAGCUUUAAAUUCAUGAUCAUCUUGGAUCAAUGUUUGCUUUACCUAAUUAAUUUCAAUGACAAUGUACAUUUACAACUAGGGGAUAGGAGAGAAGAGACCGACGAAAUAAUAUGGGACUUGUGCAAGUUGUCAUAAUUAAAGAAAGUGGUUCCUCUUGUUGCUGCAAAGUUUGCUAGUGAAUGCACCAUCAUAGUUAGGAACCAUGUGGCUAUACUCCCGUAUUGGAAGCUAUACGAGAAAGAACCUGCAUCAAGUUAAAGUGAGAAAGAACGAAAAGAGAAAGGACCAAAAGAGAAAGAACCUGCAUCCGCGUACGUUGAUCUAUUCUUAGGAAAAACUAAAGGUACAUACAUUCGAGAAAAUGGCUAUUAUAGGACUGCAAUCGUUGUGGCUUCUCUUAAAUAGGACUCUAAACAUUUGUUUCUUCCAAAUAGGACUCCAAAUAUUGUUUGUAAGCUCUAAUAACAUUUUAAUAAUAUUAACUAUUUUUUCUCAUCUUCUAAAUAAAUGUAUUUUCGUAUAUGACCUUAUUACCCUUGUACAAACGAUUCAUCUGCCUGUUUGUCGUACCUAGUCCGUCUCCUCGUCUACUUGCGCCGCCGCGUUCGUCUGCAAGAGCGCGCCGUCGCUUGUCGCCAUGCGGAACAAGGGACUCGACAUGGCGCUGCACUGCACGGCGAUGGCCGGGAGCAAGGGUGUGGUGGCCUGCCUCCUGUCCAAGAUGCGCACUGCUGUCGGUGGACCGGACGAGGCGGCUGCGCUGCGGGCAAAAAACUGCCUAGGCGCCACUGCUUUGCACGGGUCCGUCUGUCUCAGGCGUGCUUUGGUCUCUUGAUGGCCGAAGCCCCCGAGCUGGCGUCAGUGACAACUGAGGAUGGUGUCUCGCCCAGGGAGCAGCCAGGGAGGGGCAAAAGAGUCCUGACAUGAUCAAAUACAUGUAUUUAGGACUUAAAAUAUGGUUAAUUGUAUUAAAAUAUCAUUAGAGCAUACAAACAAUGUUUACAGUCCUAUUUGGGAGAAGCAAAUGUUUCAAAUCCUAUUUGAGAGAAGCCACAUUGAUUGGAGUCCUAUAAUAGUUAUUUUCUCCAUACAUUCUCUGGUCCUUUCCACAUUUAUUCUUAAUACAAGAUUCAUUGUUUGUUGUUUUAUGCCAUAAAUUAUUGAACAGCCACAGGGGACUUGAGCAAUGGUGCAUGAAACAUCUGUACCACUACCAUCUUGCUGAACUUCCAUUCCACGGUAGGAGUGGUAAAUUCCAGCAAGUUAUCCAUGGCCCGGCCGGGCGUUACACCCAAGCCAAUGUGCUUUCGUAUGCAUUAACGCAACGCUUUGGGCUCAACGCGGAAGCAUGAAAACAAGGUUAGAACCAAACACGAAAGGUGAGAAUGACUAUUAUAUUAUACUUGAUCUACAAUCAUCGUAUACGAGAACGCUACAAGAACAAUGCUGGCUACUCGCCCACUCCUAUAUAUAUGCCCCUGCUCCAACUACGACUACUACCACUGGCAAUAAUUUCCAAGUAUACUCACCGAGCUUACUGAAGAGCACCAGCAGUGACUGCAAUCAUGGCUUCGGCCGUUCCCCCUCUGCUAGUCUGUUUGCUGCUUAUUGUUUGGCCCUAUCUUGGCUCCUCCUACCACACCAGCUACACCCAUGGCGGAAGGCACUACAUUCUCCGUUCCAACAGAGACCCACGGCAGCCGAAACAGACGCCGACCUGCUCCUCCGCACAUUCUGGUGAAGCAUCACCAUUCACCAUAAUGUUCCUUGUUAAUUGUGGUGUACUGGUCCAUAUAUAUGUGUCAUGUUAACUUGUAACCUACUCCUAACAUUGUAGGGACGAGCAGGAGGGACACAUUGCCUGUGGUGCACCGGCUGAGUCCAUGCUCCCCUCUUGGCGCCGCACGGAUCCAACAGCUGGAGAAGCCAUCCGUGGCCGACAUCCUCCACCGCGACGCACUUCGCUUCCGCUCCCUGUUCAGAGACCACAACCACGGGUCCGCUGCACCCGCACCGACAUCACCUGGAGCUGAUGGAGGAGGGCUCUCGAUCCCCAGCAGGGGCGAUCCAAUCCAGGAGCUGCCCGGUGCGUUCGAGUACCACGUCACGGCUGGCUUUGGCACUCCGGUGCAGCAGUUCACCGUGGGAUUCGACACGACUACCACCGGUGCCACGCAGCUGCAGUGCAAGCCGUGCGCCGCCGACGAACCGUGCCACCACGCCUUUGACCCAUCCGCGUCGUCCUCCAUCGCUCAUGUCCCCUGUGGCUCGCCGGACUGCCCGUUCAAUAAAGGCUGCUCCGGACACAGCUGCACUCUCAGCGUCUCCAUCAACAACACUUUGCUCGGCAAUGCGACGUUUUUCACCGACAAGCUGACGCUGACGCCGUGGAACAUCGUGGACGACUUCAGGUUCGUGUGUCUCGAGGCCGGGUUCCGGCCGGACGACGACUCCACUGGUAUCCUCGACCUCAGCCGGAACAGCCACUCUCUGGCGUCUCGCGCCGCGCCUUCCUCGCCGGACGCGGUCGCCUUCUCCUACUGCCUGCCGUCGUACCCGAGCGACGUAGGCUUCCUCUCCCUCGGCGCCACCAAGCCGGAGCUGUUGGGACGCAAGGUGAGCUACACCCCGCUAAGGAGCAACCGCCACAACGGGAAUCUGUACGUCGUGGAGCUCGUCGGGCUGGGCCUCGGCGGCGUGGACCUCCCGGUCCCGCGCGCCGCCAUCGCCGGCGGAGGCACGAUCCUCGAGCUGCACACGACGUUCACCUACCUCAAGCCCAAGGUGUACGCGGCCCUCCGCGACGAAUUCCGCAAGUCCAUGUCGCAGUACCCUGUGGCGCCGCCGCAAGGAAGCCUGGACACGUGCUACAACUUCACCGCGUUGAGCUCCUACUCGGUGCCGGCCGUGACGCUCAAGUUCGACGGCGGGGCCGAGUUUGACCUCUGGAUCGACGAAAUGAUGUACUUCCCCGAGCCCGGGAGCUACUUCUCCGUCGGGUGCCUUGCGUUCGUUGCGCAGGAUGGUGGCGCUGUGAUCGGGAGCAUGGCGCAGAUGUCGACGGAGGUGGUGUACGACGUGCGCGGAGGGAAGGUUGGGUUUGUCCCGUACCGCUGCUGAUGGAAGAUCACAGCUAGCAUAUAUGCACGUCUGCAUGCGCAGGGUGAAGAGCAAGCAUGCCAUGGGUGUGUGCUCCUUUUAACAUCUUUUAUCUGUAAUAAGAUAAGGCUCAGAGAACUCGCGCGUGAUGCAUUUUCGAGGUACGGAGCUACUAUGUCCGUAGGCGGUUGAAUAAGCAGUACCAACAGCUAUCAAAAGCUAGUUCUAUAUGCUGCCUCUGUUUGUCAAGUUUGCCAACACAAAGUAUACCAGUUUCUGUUAUGUUUGCGAAUAUGGUGUUUUUUUCCACUUCUCUAGACUUGAAUGGUGAUUUUACUUCUACUAUUUAAACUUUGUGAUUUUGCCCUUGUCUUUUUAAAAUGAAGCAACUGUUUGCCCCUACUUUAUAGCACCGUGAGGAUGAGGCGAAUUAAAUGGCAAAAAAAAAAAGAGAAAAGAAAGCAGAGCACCCACUCCAAUGUCUUGUUUACUUUCACUCCAAAACCUAAAAUUUUUCAAGAUUCUCCGUCACAUCAAAUUUUUAGACGCAUGCAUGAAAUAUUAAAUAUAGAUGAAAAAAAACUAAUCGCACCGUUUGGUCAAAAUUUACGAGAUGAAUCUUUUGAGCCUAGUUAGUCCAUGGUUGGACAAUAAUUACCACAAAGAAACGAAACUGCUACAAUGUCGCGAAAUUCUUCCCUUCGGGAACUAAACACGGCCCAAAAGACAAGCAUACUUCUCAGUUUAUUUCCUCCAAAUCUUGGGCGCUCGUUCCUUCUGCUCAUGCCUCGAGCACGAGCAGCACACGGCGGAUGCUGGAGUUUCGUGGCCGCCUUGCUCUUGUCCAUUGGGUGGCGCUCCUCCCAGUGGUGAAUCCCUCACAUCCCCUCCCACUCCACAUCCUCCCCUCAGAACCGAGUAGCAAUGUUCAGCAUCACCUCGCAGGCAUGUGCGCUUCCGGCUAGCGGGCGGGCGGGCGCGGUGGCUGGCGGCCGGUGGUUAGGCCCAUCGCGGCUCCCUUGGCCGGCAGCACCUAGCACCCUCCCUAGCAAGCAUAUCCCCCACCCCCGCCCCUUAUCGGAAUUUACCUCCGGCAAUGCCUAGCAACAACUUAACGUAGGAGGAAUUAGAUGGUACCACACGAGACAUAAGAUUUAUACUUGUUCAGGCCCCUAUGUAGCAUAAUACCCUGCUCAUGUCCCCUCUUCUUGUAUUCGUAUGCUCAGUUAUAGGGGUUGUUGCCCCUAGCUAUGAGAUGAAAGGGAAUGAGAUGGAUCUUGAUCUUGAGGUCUUUACCCUCCUUUAUAUAGCCAGAGAGGGUAGGGUUACAAUGAGGGGGAUAGGCUAACAGAUUGAAUCCCUAGUUUGUUACAGAAAAAACAUAACAGAUCCAUAUUAUGCUGUCAUCCACAUACAUCGGCUCCAGAUAUUCUCGGCGUGCCUUGAUCUUCAAGUUGGUUGCUUUGAACAGCCAAUUUUGGGCCUCCUUCGCCAUGGCCUCUGGACUGAUAGUCGAACAUGAUCGAAUAUACGGACGAUGUGGGCUACACUUAAACCAUGAUCUUAUAAUUUGACUAAUGCAAUAUGUAAUAAACAUUGAAAUAUGACAUUUUAGCAAAUCUGGUAAAGAGGGCUAGAGCAUUGGGCUAUCUAUAUGGUGCUCUAGUUUCUCUCCAUAAGGGCCUAUCUGUAAGUGAUCAUCUAAGACUUACAGUACAACUAUGAGGGCAAUAUGGCUCUGACUUUAGUCAUAUAAGAGGACCUUUUCUAGCUUGUUAGUGCUUAGCUUCAUGGUGCUAUACGGGCUUGUCAAAUCAGGCAUAGUGCGGCCUCUGUCCUUAUGUGUAUAGGUUGUGUGUCAUUGUGCCAUUUGAAAAGGGAGCUCCACAUCUAUUUGCCAAUUGGAAACUUAACAACCCUAACUUGUUAAACGAACCUUGAAAAGGCUUCAUAGUGAACCCUGCCUGCUCACCAUGGAAGUGUUUCAGGGAGUACCUAUCAUGGUAGUAUAUGGGACUCAUGAUUCACAGUGAAAGUAUACAACCUCUGGAGAGUAUAAAACUGUUAUAACAGCAUGCUCAUAGUCACAAGCAGCCUUGGAACCCUUACAGAACAAAUGAUCACUAAAGAUUAUGAUUAUUAUUAUUAUGUUGUUUUUGCUAUCCUUUAUUCACUUUACCAGAUCAUGCGUUUAUUUUGGAAUAUAGCAACUUGAUGCUACUCAUAUGCUAACAUUAUGACAACUAAAAGCGACAUGUGUCUUGCCUUUGAGCCUCAUAAACAUCAUGUUUCACUUGUUAAGUAUGAGAUGUAUUUAUGCUUGUUUAUUUUCUUUAUUUGGAUAAAAAUCCUGGAUGGAUAAGAGAUAACAUGGGUAAUGACUUCUGCAACUAUAUCCUUGAGGAUUUUUGGACUUGUGGUUACCACUAUGAUAGACUUUAUGUAGGUCUCAAGCCCAUCUCAUUUGAUGCACUAUCUAUCAUGUUACAUGAUAGUCCCUUAGUGAAUUAAUCUCUAGAUUUUUAUAUGCAUGGACAUAGUGCAAUGCUAUCACUCUGGAGUUUCUUAGUUUUCUGAUAGAUUUUAGCCACCACUUAACAUGCCUUGUGGACUUCAAGUUAUCCUGAUAAAUGUUUACUUUGAUUAUCAUAGUUUGGUCAUCAUAGUUCAUAGAAAACUACUCGGCCUCAACGUCGGUGGUGUCUAAUCAUGAGAGCUACUUCCAUGGUUGACCUUGUUAAGAUAGCCUACUUGAAAGACUUUGUAACACCCUAAAUUUUGUUCUUUUGGAAAUAGAUGAAAAAUAAUUUAAUUUUGUAAUUUUUGUGCUCAUGGAACAUAGGAAAAAUAAUAUUUUUCAUUUAAUUAAAAUUUAUCAUAGGAUGUAGCAACAUUUUUGUGCACUCAUGCUCCUGCAUUACAUUUAUUGUGCUGAGUGGUUUUACUAAAGUCCAAAAGUAUUUCAAUGUGAUUUUUAAAAUAGAUUUUGACUAAAAGAAAGGAAAAGAAAAUAAUGAGGACAAACCCCUCCUCUCUGCUUUCUGGCCCGAGGGCCCAACCUCUUUCCUCCCCCUUUUUUUUUUUUUCCCCCCCCCCCCCCCCCCCCCCGCUGGAGCCCAGUUUUCCCUUCCCCUCGGCCUGUUGGCCGACUCCCUCACUCGGCCCAAGCCGGCCAGCAACCGGCCCAACACGCCACCUCCCUCCACGUCGCCUCGGCCCGCAUGCGCAACCGGCCCACUCUCCGCUCUAAGCCCAGUGGCCACCCGAGCGCCUCCCCUCUCCUUCCUUCUCACUGGCAUCCGUGGCCCACGCGCCAGUGCCACUCCCUUCUCUCCUCUCACUGACAGCCAGGACCAAGCUGUCAGCCGUCUCCUACCUUGCGCCGUAAGCGAGCCGGACACAGCCGAGAACGUACCAAACCCGAUUUCACGGGAUUUGCUGCCUCCAAACGCGCGUAAGCCACCCCUAUAAAGACCUAAACCUUCUUCGCGUUUCUCUUUCCCGUUUCCACGACCCUAAACGUGCUCUAGCCGGGUUUUGGAUCUUGCCGAAAAGAAUAGGAAGCCGCCGCCAUGGAGCGCCCUAUUCGCGGUCGUGCCGUCGAAUUAGAGCUCUGGCCGAGUUUCCCGACUCUCCUAUGAGGUUGCCAAGCUCUCUCUUUCUUUCUAUCGUGCUUUGGUUCACCCUAUAACCUUCGCCGAACUUGCAGGAAGGGUUCCGGCCGCCAUUCUCCGACGUCGGCCGUGUGCACGUCCUUCUCACAUUCGAGUUUGCCCUAGGUGAGCUCGCGGGGAGUUUCUCUUCGCUUCCAUGUCUUUAUUUUGUUGAACCGUGGUCUAAAUCGUUGAAACGACUAGCGCCGGUGAGGUUUCUUAUGCCGGCCAUGGAGCCGUCGUGCCGGGAACACUGUUCCGGCCGGGGUAUCCUUCUUUACCCUCCCAGAUCUAAUCUGAGCCAUCCAUCGCAGAUCCAACGACCCAAAUUUCAAGAUACCCCUUUGGUCGACAGUUUUUCUAAAGAGCCCCUGGCCUUUUUAGAUAUCGAACCCGCGGUCCUAAACGCCUUUCCGAUAAUACGUUUUCUCCUUUUGAAAGCGCAAACAGUUCAGUUCAGGUUCGAAAUACGUUUUCUCUAUUUACAAAGUUGCUACUAAGUUUGUUUUACUCAAAAUAUUCAAUUUAACUCCGUUUCUGUCCAUUCAAAUUGCGUUAGGUUUGUUUUCAUGAGCUCUACAUGAUAGUAAAAUUGUUUACUUAGUUUGAAACUUUUUCAUUUCAUGAGUUUAAUUAAUUAUUUUUCUAAAGAAAAUCUUAGAAAAUUCAUAUCUUCUACAUUUUAACUCUGAUUUUCGUGAUCUUUACGUUCGUGUGAUCGUAGCGAUGCGUAGAAUAUUUUUAUAAACUUUUCAUAUUGUUUUUAUAUGAUUCGUGUACUGUUCUAAUUGUAGCCUUGUUUGCUUCGUGUAUGUUUGUUGUCGUAUGUUUGUGAUCGAUGAUCGGAAUUAGUUGGUGAGCAAUUCGUGGUGAUCAAGAGUGCUUCAGUGAUCAAGAUCAGAGCCUUGGCAGCUAGUAAGACCAGCAGCAGGCUCAGGAGAGCUUUGAUCAAGGCAAGUAUAGCAUUUGGGAUUUUAUUUCUGGGACCAUGAUUGGGGUGACUAGAUUAGGUUUAGUAAUAAACGAUAAAAAUGACUUUUUAGCCACUUGAUGAUUUAUCUGUAAGUGAUAACUGGGACAACAGUGCAACCAUGAGGGCUAUAAUGGCUCUGGCUUUAGUUAAGUAUGAUUAACUUUUCUAGCUCGUUAGCGGUUACCGAUGUGGCGCAAUUGGGGAAUAGCAGACCGUGGAUUCCUGCGAGUGAAUCACACGGACUGACUAAUGAAACUAAGCGGCCCUAACUUGUUAGACGAACCUUUGAAAGACUUCAUAGUGAUCCCUGCCGACCUCCCUUGGAAGGGAGUUAAGAGACUAGCUACCUCGGGCGAAAGGGUAAAUCAUGACUCAUGGGUAAAGAUGUGCAACCUCUGCAGAGGGUUAAAAACUAGUAUACUAGCCGAGCUCACGGUCAGGAGCGGCCUUGGGAUUCUUGUAUCGAUGAUGAUGAUUCUUGUGUGUUAAAUAUGCCCAUUAUUUAUUAUUUAAUGUUUUACAUUAUUUAUGUCACAUUGAUCAUGAGAUUGUUGGAGCUAUACAAUCUAGUUGCUAUACUUGUGGAGUUCGACAUGGACUCACUCUUGCUAUUUCCCCAAACCUCAGGAGAAGUUUAGGCUUGUGAUCAACCAGUCAGUUGGAUCCUGUAGAGUGGAGUUAAUACCCGAAGUUGGAGUUAUUUAUCCGAUGUUUGCUAUCAAAGGUUAUCUCUUUUAUACUAAGUACGUUAUAUAUUUAUGCAUUGUCUUUGAUAUUACACCUUAUUUGUAGCAAUAUGUGAGAUUUGGCUUUUAAAACUCACAUAUGGUGUAUAUCUAGUUUUGUCCUUAAAAUCGGGUAUUACAAAGUGGUAUCAAAGCAAUGCUAACUGUAGGACGCAAGCCUAGUUAGAACUAGACGUUUUGGCAUGCUUCUAUCUUUGCUUACUUCUUGCUUUCGCCUUGACCUUGAUAGUUGCUAAAACUUAUGCUUACUUCUUGCCCAGUUCUUUUAUAAAAUCUUGUCUCUAUUCUAAAUCCUCUCUCUUUGUCUCUUUAGAUGGAUCAUAACGAGGAGACCUUUGACAAGAAAGAACAAAAGCACCCAGAUUUGCCAACCGUAAAAGCAUUCGACAUGGAGAAGCUUCAAGCCAUGCAAACACAAGUAGUGAAAGAAAUAACUCAGAAUAAGAACUCUCAACGAUGCAUCUCAGGACCAGUGAGGAGACAAGUAGCAGAAGCUUGGAAGAAUAUGAGAAAUCAUAGAAGUGUUGGGAGUAAUACAUUAAGAUAUCAGGAUCAAUGCCACUGUUGUGAGCAUUAUGGUCUUCCUUGUCUUUGGAAUAUGUCAUCUAAAAAGGAAGUUAAGACAAAACCCACUUUUGUGACUAAUGGGGAUAAGAAGAGGAAGGCAAAAGCACUGGAGCCAGCAUUGGGAAGUGAUCAACACCCAAAUCCUAAGAUGCCACAUGUAGCUUCGAAUUCUCGUGAGGAAAACCCAAACCUUGGAGAUGAACAAAUUCCCCAAGCUAAUCCCACUGCUCAUGAGGUAUGCAUAGAUGGAUGGACAAUCACUUAUAAAGAGUUUCAACCCCAAAGGAUCAAGCAAUAUAGGAAGAAAUCUAAUCAUACAAAGAUAAACCAUCAGAGUCAGCGAGUUGAUGACACACCGAACAACACUUCAGUGGAAAAUAACAUCACAAAGGAUCCAGCUAAGAGAAGGUGUUAUCACUGCCAACAAGAAGGACAUUAUAUAAGCUCUUGUCCACAAAAGAAGCAACAGAUGCAUCGUGAAAAUAACCACACUAAGUCUAAGAUAUAGGUGCUUGUGUCCCCUGGUGUAAUAAAAACGCUAGUAGCGAAAGUUGAGUUUGUGUGCCUUGUGAACCUUUAAUGCUUAAUUUCUUGUUAUUAUGUUUAUGUUUGAUUUGGAUCUUUGUAAUGAGUGUAAUGAUUUUGUGAGUUUCUUCACAAUUUCAUUUAGUUUAUAGAUCUAAGGUAUAAGGAUUAAUGAAAUAAGUAGUUGGGUUUGGCUAUCUCUUGUUUCUAUCCCUUGCUGAAUUCUGGAGCAGUCUGCCAUAAUACUGGUGUAUCUCAAAUUCUGAUCAUGCAAAGUUUAUCAAAUUUUUCUGGGAACAAAUAGACUUCAAUAUCUUUCCCUGACCGCAAGAAUCACCCUAAUAGCUAUUAUGAUUUGGAAAUUACAAAAAUCACAAGAUGAUACAGAUGUGCUGUCAAGAAUCUGGACCAGUUUUGGUUGCUUAAUGUGUAAGACAAAUACAACUAUAGAAUUUGGAAAAGUGUUAUAUAGAAAAGUUGUAGACAAGUUUCCAAGCUUUCCAACGGUGUAAGCUGUAACUUAUUGGGAUAAGUAGAACCUGAGCUAUGACAUUUACAAUUGGAUGUCUCUGUUCUGUUUCAAGAUUUGGACAGUUUUGGUAUUCCCUAUUUUCAGUCAAGUUAAAUUCAGAAUCUGGGAACAAGUUGUAUACGAAAGUUGUAGAGGAUUUUCAAAGCUUUUCAAAAAUGGAAGGAUCAUCUCCAGAUGAGUUAAUUAGCUCGAGAUAUAAUUUCUGUAAUUUAGUGCACCUUUGCUGAGACAUUAUCAGGACGGGUAUUAUGUUUGGUUGUUUUACCUAAGCUUAAAGACAGAAUCUAAGGAGGUCUUCUACAGAAAAUUUGUGGUGAAUUUCAUAAGAUUUCUAACGAUAUAAGCUAUAACUCUAUUGGAUUAAUAGAAUGAGAGUUAUACCUGUUUUUCUAUGCUGGUGUUUUUCAUAUCGCGGGAAAAUUUCAGGAUACAUGAUUAUUCUCUUGCACAUAAGCUCUUUGGGAUGUCAUAAGUUCUCAAUGUUAGUUAACUUGUCUGGAAAAAUAUGCUAGCUACCCUUCUUGUGUCCCCUAGUUGACCUUUCUUAAGGGGGGUAGUACCUUGAUACCACGGAUGAUGCAUUUUAAAACUAGCUUGAAGGGAUAAUUGUCUUCUGAGAUAUUCUAUGGUUAUGAUCAUCUAUCCUGCCGUGUUACUGACGUUGGUCACUUGAUGACAGGGAGUGUAGUGUCCCAUGAAUCCGAAGCACAAUAUGACGCCUCUCAUGGAUAGGUGGGAAGAAUAUGAUCAUCUUGCCUUUGAAGAAAGAUGCUAUGAAUAUGACAAAGCUGAGUGUUAUCAGAAUAAUAAUACAGAAGAGCAGGUUGACAUUGAAUCAAAUCAGAAUCCACAACGACGGAAGCGUAAAAGGAAAGCCCGUAAAAAGUCUGCUUACGGAAAUAAAGUACAGCAAAAUUAUAUCAAUGGAAGACUGAACAAUGUGGAUAUGAAUGACAUUCAAGGAGUCACCAAAGUGGUGGGUGGAUAUAUUCAAGUGGACUUAGUGUUAGUUUUUGCUCUGUUUGACCGAAGUGCUUCCCAUUCCAUCAUUUCUGCCAACUUGGUAAAGACAAUUGAGCGGGUGAAGUGUCCAACAAGGAAGCCUUUGUUAGUUCAAACUCCAAAGGGAGAAAUACAGGCAGACCAGGUUUGCUUGAAUAUUAAUCUGGUCAUAAGCAAACCUCAUUGUGCUAGAGUCACUCAAUAUUCCUUUGGUUCUUGGCAAUGGAUGGUUAUGUGCACACAAGGCAGUGAUCUAUGCUACCCAGUGGAAACUUUUCUUAACCGCACCAUCAGGGAAAAGAAUUGAGUAUCAAGAUGGUCCACUCCUACAUGAGGAGGCAUAUCCAUGCUAAGUUAUCAUGUCUUUGAGUUGUAUAAGUCAAAAAGUUGGUAGUCAAGGUGGACCUUGAACAAUUACGAAUAAUAGAUAUUUUUAUGGAAGUUUUGUUCACAAGUUGUAAUCCCGAGACAUAAGUGCUUGCAUUUGGAAUACAAGUUGUCAAGUUGAAAUAAUGAUCAAUAUCUUAUUCUUCUUUCUCUUUUGGAAUCCGUGCCUCUUCCGAAUCUCAAGGACGAGAUUCAUUUUAAGGGGGGUAGAUUUGUAACACCCUAAAUUUUGUUCUUUUGGAAAUAGAUGAAAAAUAAUUUAAUUAAAAUUUAUCAUAGGAUGUAGCAACAUUUUUGUGCACUCAUGCUCCUGCAUUUCAUUUAUUGUGCUGAGUGGUUUCACUAAAGUCCAAAAGUAUUUCAAAGUGAUUUUUAAAAUAGAUUUGAAAAUGGAUUUGGAAUAAAAGAAAGGCAAAGAAAAUAAUGAGGACAAACCCCUCCUCUCUGCUUUCUGGCCCGAGGGCCCAACCUCUUUCCUCCCCCUUUUUCUUUCUUCCCCCCCCCCCCCCCGCUGGAGCCCAGUUUUCCCUUCCCCUCGGCCUGUUGGCAGACUCCCGCACUCGGCCCAAGCCGGCCACCAACCGGACCAGCACGCCACCUCCCUCCCCCUCGCCUCGGCCCGCAUGCGCAACCGGCCCACUCUCCGCUCUAAGCCCAGUGGCCACCCGAGCGCCUCCCCUCUCCUUCCCUCUCACUGGCAUCCGUGGCCCACGCGCCAGUGCCACUCCCUUCUCUCCUCUCACCGACAGCCGGGACCAAGCUGUUAGCCGUCUCCUACCUUGCGCCGUAAGCGAGCCGGACACGGCCGAGAACGUACCAAACCCGAUUUCACGGGAUUUGCUGCCUCCAAACACGCGUAAGCCACCCCUAUAAAGACCUAAACCUUCUCCGCAUUUCUCUUUCCCGUUUCCACGACCCUGAACGUGCUCUAGCCGGGUUUUGGAUCUUGCCGAAAAGUAUAGGAAGCCGCCGUCGUGGAGCGCCCUAUUCGCGGUCGUGCCGUCGAAUUAGAGCUCUGGCCGAGUUUCCCGACUCUCCUACAAGGUUGCCAAGCUCUCUCUUUCUUUCUCUCGUGCUUUGGUUCACCCUAUAACCUUCGCCGAACUUGCAGGAAGGGUUCCGGCCGCCAUUCUCCGACGUCGGCCGUGUGCACAUCCUUCUUACACUCGAGUUUGCCCUAGGUGAGCUCGCGGGGAGUUUCUCUUCGCUUCCAUGUCUUUAUUUUGUUGAACCGUGGUCUAAAUCGUUGAAACGACUAACGCCGGUGAGGUUUCUUAUGCCGGCCAUGGAGCCGCCGUGCCGGGAACACUGUUCCGGCCGGGGUAUCCUUCUUUACCCUCCCAGAUCUAAUCUGAGCCAUCCAUCGCAGAUCCAACGACCCAAAUUUCAAGAUACCCCUUUGGCUGACAGUUUUUCUAAAGAGCCCCUGGCCUUUUUAGAUAUCGAACCCGCGGUCCUAAACACCUUUCCGAUAAUACGUUUUCUCCUUUUGAAAGCACAAACAGUUCAGUUCAGGUCAAUACGUUUUCUCUAUUUACAAAAUUGCCACUAAGUUUGUUUUACUCAUAAAAUAUUCAUUUUAACUCCGUUUUUGUCCAUUUAAAUUGCAUUAGGUUUGUUUUCUUGAGCUCUAAAUGAUAGUAAAAUUGUUUACUUAGUUUGAAACUUUUUAAUUUCAUGAGUUUAAUUAAUUAUUUUUCUAAAGAAAAUCUUAGAAAAUUCAUAUCUUCCACGUUUUAACUCUGAUUUUCGUGAUCUUUACGUUCAUGUGAUCGUAGCGAUGCGUAGAAUCUUUUUAUAAACUUUUCAUACUGUUUUUAUAUGAUUGGUGUACUGUUCUAAUUGUAGCCUUGUUUGCUUCGUGUAUGUUUGUUGUCGUAUGUUUGUGAUCGAUGAUCGGAAUUAGUCGGUGAGCAAUUUGUGGUGAUCAAGAGUGCUUCAGUGGUCAAGAUCAGAGCCUUGGCAACUAGUAAGACCAGCAGCAGGCUCAGGAGAGCUUUGAUCAAGGCAAGUAUAGCAUUUGGAUUUUAUUUUUGUGACCAUCAUCGUGUGACUAGAUUAAUGUUAAGUAAUAAACGAUAAAAAUGACUUUUUAGCCAUUUAAUGAUUUAUCUGUAAGUGAUAACCGGGACAACAGUGCAACCAUGAGGGCUAUAAUGGCUCUGGCUUUAGUUAAGUAUGAGUAACUUUUCUAGCUCGUUAGCGGUUACCCGAUGUGGCGCAAUUAGGGAAUAGCAGACCGUGGAUUCUUGCGGGUGAAUCACACGGACUGACUAAUGAAACCAAGCGGCCCUAACUUGUUAGACGAACCUUUGAAAGACUUCAUAGUGAUCCCUGCCGACCUCCCUUGGAAGGGUGUUAAGAGACUAGCUACCUCGGGCGAAAGGGUAAAUCAUGACUCAUGGGUAAAGAUGUGCAACCUCUGCAGAGGGUUAAAAACUAGUAUACUAGCCGAGCUCACGGUCAGGAGCGGCCUUGGAGAUUCUUGUAUCGACGAUGAUGAUUCUUGUGUGUUAAAUAUGUCCAUUAUUUAUUAUUUAAUGCUUUACAUUAUUUAUGUCACAUAGAUCAUGAGAUUGUUGGAGCUAUACAAUCUAGUUGCUAUACUUGUGGAGUUCGACAUGGACUCACUCUUGCUAUUUGCCCAAACCUCAGGAGAAGUUUAGGCUUGUGAUCAACCAGUCAGUUGGAUCCUGUAGAGUGGAGUUAAUACCCGAAGUUGGAGUUAUUUAUCCGAUGUUUGCUAUCACAGGUUAUCUCUUUUAUACUAAGUACGUUAUAUAUUUAUGCAUUGUCUUUGAUAUUACAUCUUAUUUGUAGCUAUAUGUGAGAUUUGGCUUUUAAAACUCACAUAUGGUGUAUAUCUAGUUUUGUCCUUAAAAUCGGGUAUUACAGACUUCCAUAAAAUAGCACCACUUCCAAGUAGAAACACAUAUCCACCUAUGGCGUGAACCUCAUCUACAUCACAUAUAUGCAGUUCGCAUCACAAUAAUCCUCUAGUACCUUCCCAUACUCGUUAUAGCGAAGCCAUAGCUCAUAGUACCUUUUAGGUAGCAAAUUACUCUCUUAAUAGCACGCCAAUUAUUAUCUCUCGGAUUUUAUACAAACCAGCUUAGUUCACUCACAACAAUGAGAAAUGAGGCCUUGUAGCGCUAGCCAGAUACAUAAGUUAACCAAUAAUCUGUGUGUAUCUCAAUUGAUCCCUUUCUAUUCUCUGAUUUUUUUUCUCCAUGGUACAGUAGAGUCAUAAGGCAUAGGAGCAAGCUAAUAGUAACUAAACCCUAAGUGACUUCAAACCUUUUCCACAUUGUGGGAUUGUAGAAGUGUAACUCCACCAUUGUAUUCUCUUCAUAGCUUGAUAUUAAGAAUAACAUCAGCCUCUCCCAAAUCAUUCAUCUUAGAAUUUUUAGAACAAAAUCUUUAACAAAGACAUUAACUAAUAUGCUCUAUUUUUUAAAUAGUCAUCAUCCCCAAUUGUGAAACCCCAAUUUCAGUUAUCAUAAACAUACAUCCGCGGUUUGCACUUCAUUAAACUACAUUCUUUUGAGUUCUUGCUUGUGUUAUUCAUUUCGCAUGCAGGAAUUAGUCUUCUUAAUGAGGUCAACUAGAUUGUGACUUAGUUGAUAACUAGAGGAGUGAAGGAGUGAGACGGGUUCGGGUCUUGUGAUCUAAAUCAGAUCAGUGUUUCGUUCUCCAACAAAAUUGAUAGCUAUCUCCUUCUCAUGGAAGUUCGAGAACCUUCACUGCUACAUAAACAAUUUCAUGAGAUACUACCUAAUCAUUAUCGGAGGUGGUAAAAAAUCCAUCGGUCUCCAAAAAUACUCGAGGAUUAUCAAAGACGAACGUUUAAUUUACAGAGGCACUAAAAAAUUAUCCUCCUAUAACAGAUUUAGGGAGGUUUGCCACUUAAACAUUUUCCCUUUAAAUGCCCACUUUGUAAAUAUGCGCGAGGCCCGGCCAAAGCCCAUAUCAAACCUUCCAUUAGACUUAUGUAAAUAUAAAUAUGAAGAGUUAUGAUUUUUUUGACUUAUCCAAUCUCUCUCUCUCUCUCAGCUCCUCCCAUCUUUUGUCACAUCCAAUUUUAAGGAUAAAAUUUAAUGCAAAAUCUUAUGUGUGCCCAGAGAUCAAUCACACAUAAGCCAACAAAUUAUAGGAAGUAUCAUCACAAGUGUUUAUUACAUAACGAUAAUAUCUCAGAGCCUUUACACAAAUAAAGUGGAAAUAAAAAGAUAAGUCUCGCAUAGAUGCUCCAUCUCAUAGGCACGUCAACUAGUUGACCACAAGUCUAGAAAUCCUCAGGAAAGUAAGGUAGUAGUCAUUACCCAUGCCAUCUGUUACCCAUCCAGGAUUUUUAUCCAAAUAAAGAAAAUAAAAAAGCAUAAGUACAUCUCAUACUUAACAAGUGUAACAUCAGGUUCAUGAGGCUCGAAGGCUAGAAACUGAUUUGACUGCAUGUAGCUUUUAGUUGUCACAAUUUUAUCAUAUGAGUAGCAUCAAGUUGUCAAGUCCCAAAGUAAACUCAUGAUCAAGUAAAGUGAAUAAAGAAUAGCAUAAACAACAUAUUAACAACAAUAACAUUAAUAAUUUGUCAUUAGUGAUCAUUUAUUCUGUAAGAGUUCCAAAGCCGCUCGUGACCGUGAGCACGGCGAAUAUAUCAGUUUUACACUCUGCAGAGGUUGUACACUUUCACUGUGAGUUAUGAUUUACCCUUUCGCCCGAGGGUCACGAGUCUCUUAACCCACUUCAUAGGAAGGUCGACAGGGUUACUUUGAAGCCUUUCAAAGGUUCAUCUAACAUGUUAGGGCCGCUUGGUUUCAUUAGUCAGUCUGUGUGAUUCUACCGCAUAGGGAAUCCACUGUCUGCUAUCCCCCAUUUGCGCCACAUGGGUAACCUCUAACAAGCUAGAAAAGGUCCUCAUAUUGAGCUAAAGCCAGAGCCAUGUAACCCUCACAGUUGUACUAUAUGUCAUGAAUGAUCAUAUACAGAUAAGUCAUUAUAGAGAGAAACUAGAGCACCAUAAGAUAGCCCAAUGCUCUAGCCCCCUUUAACAAAGUUGCUAAAAACUCAUCUCUUAAUGUUUAUUGCAUAUUCCAUUAAUCAAAUUACAAGAUCAUGGUUUAGUGAAGCACUAGUAUAAGCUACCCAAUGGAAACCCAUAGUUGACAAGGUAUAAGAUCAAAACUGUAAUCCUUAACAAGGUGGCACAUGCAAUAUGAAUUACAUGAUUAUAGUUAUUGUAAUACCCGAUUUUAAAGACAAAACCAGAUAUGCACCAUAAGUGAGUCUUAGAGCCAAAUCUCACACAUAGCUACAAAUAUGAUGUAAUAUCAAAAGACAAUGCAUAAAUUAUAUAACGUACAUAAUAGAAUCAGAAGUAACCUUAGGCAGCAAACAAUGUAAGAUAACUCCAACUUCGGGUAUUAACUUCACUCUACAGGAUCCAAAUAACUCGUUGAUCACAAACCUAAAACAUCUCCUAAAGUGUGGGCGAAAUAGCAAGAGUGAGUCCAUGUUGAACUCCACAAGUAUAGCAACUAGAUUGUAUAGAUCCCACAAUCUCAUGAUCAUGUGACAAUAAUAAUAUAAAGCAUUAAAUAAUAAAUAUGAGCAUAUUAACACAACAAGAAUCAUCACCCUUAAUGUAGAUGUCCCCAAGGCCGCUCCUGACCGUGAGCUCGGCUAGUAUACUAGUUUUAAAACUCUAUAGAGGUUGUACAUCUUUACCCAUGAGUCAUGAUUUACCCUUUCGCCUGAGGCCCGUCGACCUCUUAACCCACUACCAAGGAAGGUCGACAGGGAUCACUAUGAAGCCUUUCAAAAGUUCGUCUAACAUGUUAGGGCUGCAAGGUUUCUCGGGCGCGCAGAUAUAGAGCCCCCCUUCCAAUGGCACAAUGACUCGCAUCCUAUACACAUAAAGACAGAGGCCACACUAUACCCAAAACGGCAAACCCCUCUAGCGCCCUUUCGGGUAACCGCUAACAAGCUAGAAAAGGUCUUCAUACCUAAAGCCAGAGCCAUUAUAGCCCUGAUGGUUGCAUUUUUAUCCCAGGUGAUCACGUACAGAUAAAUUCUCAAGUUGCUAAAAAGUCAUUUUUAUCGUUUGUUGCUUAACAUUAAUCUAGUCACAAGAUCAUUGUCACAGAAAGAAAACCCAAAUACCAUACUUGUCUUGAUAAAAGCUUUCCUGUUGCUCUUGCUAAUUCUGCUAGUCCAAAACUUUAAUUAAUUGCUUGCUCACUAUUACCAACUCCGAUCCUUCUUGAUCACCACAUAAAACUCACCGACUAGAUAGGAUCACACCACACAAGCAUCCGAAUAAACAUGCAUAGCAAACAUAAUAAAUUUAGAACAAUACACCAAUCAAUAAAAAGGUUUGAAAAUAGUUCUACGCAUUGCUACGAGCACACAAGCAUUAACAGCACGCUAACGAGAGCUACAAUAAAAACUAAACAACUAUCAUAAGAUUUACUUUAUGAGGAGAAGAAAACUAUGAGUUUCAUUUAUUUUAACAAUAUAAAAGCAUGUAUAAGAUAUUAUAGAGCAAUAUCCAAAAAAAAUCAAAUUAUAUUCGAGAUUAAAAAACUAAAUGAAAUUUAAUCAUAUUUUAUUUUGCUUGUAAACAAUGUCAUAUAAUUUAAUAAAGUUAAAUUUUAUUUUUGCAAAGAUAAAAGAAAACGUGAGAACAACUAUUAAAAUUAUAUGUGAUGCGUGUUUGCCUAAGUAAAUUGUAAUUCAAAACACGUUUAUGUUAACAAUUAAUCAUAUUAACUUUUACCUAUAAAAUAUCAAAGUAUAUCACUUAUGUUGUUUUAAAUUUUAAAAUUGCUGACGUGUAUAUUAAUUAAAUUAAUAUUUAAAUUAUAAUAUUUAGAGACAUUUGAUAUGGUAAAUGUCAUCACUAACAUGCAGAGGAUCUUCAUAGAAAGAACUAUAGCCGGAUGGAAUGGGCAUGUAGGGUUAGCUUUUAUAUAAAGCAAGAUCAUAGACUGGUUUUGCAAGGAUGAUAAGAUAACAAAGAGUAAACAGUGAACUUGCUAAAUGAUACUGUAGCAUGGCUUGUACAGAAUUGAUUAAAUGAAAGGAGGGCAAGCUACGUUCCAGUCACAAAUAAUAGUAAAAAGGAUAUAGAAUGAACCUGGACACAAAGAAAAUAGAAUGUGUUGGCUUCCAGUGUGACAGUCGUGAUUCAUGGAGAGCAGAGGCGAUGACCAAGUUCAGAACAGCUCCGUGGAAUUGUAAAGCUUGAUCUGCCAAAUUUCUCCAUGAUUUGGGCUCCUGGCAUGGAGCAGUCCUAGACACUCAAAGCUAGCAUGUAUGGAGAUUUGCAUGCUUCUGCUCGGCACAACAGAUGAGAGAUGAUGAGUGAGUAUGACUAUCAGCACGGCACAGGCAGCAGAUGUUAGAUCUGCAGGCAAGGCACCGCAACAUACCGAAACAAUAUAUGGUUUGCCAGAGAUGAAGUUAUUGGCAAGAAGCCAGUCUGAGCACGUGAGGUGACGUGGCCACGUGCAGAUGCUGGUCGAUGACGCUGCAGCAGAGCUGCUGCUCCGGCGGAGACCGCCUGCUACCUCUGCAGAGGCGCUUGUGAUAGUGGUCUUCCCUAGAGACACUCUAAGUAGCCGGAAAGAGCUCCGCGAAGGAGUCGUUGGAGUUGGCCGGCGGCGACAAGAAGAGAGAAAAUUAUAAUUUACUACACAAGGAAUUUCUCAAACUAAGGGCUUCUCAUAUGGUAGUUUUGAUGUGCUUUGCCUAAGGGGUUGGUAAAUAUAUAGGGAGAGAAACUCCCCACCUCCAUGUCAACUAACUAUAUGUACUAAUUGAUUUGUAACUUCAUCUUUACUAAUAGGCCUAAUUAAUUAUUAAAGCAUUACUAAAUAAAUACAUGGUCUUUGGAAUUUGUUAUGAAUAUUGCAAACGCGCUUUGACGUUAGAAAAAUAGUAAGAGAUUUAUUAUUUUCGGAAUUAAUUAUUUUCAUAGAUAAAAUAAUUCUAGAAAAGUCUAGAAUUAGUAGUUAAGCCACAAAAAAUACUCCGAAAUCUUUGAAAAUUUGAGAAAAUUUCUCAGGAUAUUAUAGAACAUGGGGAACCCGAAUAAAGAUUUUAGAGCUCAUGAUAAGAUUGUUUGGAGCAUCUAAAAAAUUAGAUCAUGCUCAGAGAAAAGUGAGAACAGAAGAUGGAAAAAUUCCCGAAAAGUUUGUAGAGAUUGCUUGAUGGACGAGGAACUAAAAGAAGUGCUUUGAGUGACAAAGAAAAGAUUUUAGGAAGCUCCUAAUAAAAACGUGAGCUUAGAAACAAGGAAAAGAAUUUGGUUGUAGAUAAAGAUAAAGAUGUACUCACCAAGGAAGAUCAUUCUACUAAACACAAUUUUAAAAACUUUGCUUAGUCUCAACAUACAAAGGAGCAACAAAUAAACAUCACAUAAAACAUAUGUACCAGCAUGUAUGCUCAACAAUGUUACUAAACCCUAUGAUGAAUUUUAAUAUAAGGAAAAAAUUUAUUUAAUUAUAUUUUCAUGAGCACAGAAAUACAAAAUAAAUUACAUUAGCUCUAUUUUAAAAGAAGCAAAAUUUAGGGUGUUACAGUUAUUAGAAAACAAGGAUAAUCACAUGCUAUACUUGCCUUAAUCAAACUGGUCCGGCUCAGCCUGUUCAUAGAAGUACUCUUGGUCACCCACGAAUUGCUCAUCGUCUAUACUCAAUCAUCAUAUCAACAGUAGUCAUCCAGAGACAAUCAUACAAAGCAAAAAAAAUCUAUAAUUAGAACAGUACACUAACAGUAGUAAAUUUAAACAAAAAGUUUGUAAAAUGAAUCUACAUUGUACUAUGAGCACACAGACGCGAAGAUCAUAAAAAUCGGAGUUAUAAUGGAGAAGUUAUGGACUAAGCAAGAUUUUCUAUAAUAAAAUAAUAGAUUAAAUCUAAGUUCAGAUUUUAAAAGUUAAAAACAUGUAAAACAGUGGUAUUAAUCUAUAGAUUAUACAAAACCGAAUCUAAUGCAAUUUUAACAAGUCAAAUUGGAGUUAAAAUGGUGAUUUUAUGAGUAAAACAAGAUCAAUGGCAAUUAUGUAAUUUUGAGAAAGCGUAUUUGAAUCUGAUUAAAGGAAAAUAUGCUUUUGAAAUAAGAAAAUGUAUUAUGAGAAUACGCUUCUAUAUUUAAAAACUACAAGGGCUCUUUUGCAAAAGCUGCGGUCGAAGCGGUACCCUUCAAUCUGGGCUGCUAGAUCUCUGAUGAACGGUCAAUAUUAGAUCGGGGUUUGGGAGAGAGGGCAACCGGCCGGAAUCGGGGAAGAACGCGGCGGCGCCAUGGCUGGACUUAACCGGUGCUAACCAAUCUAGCGAUUUAGAGCACUAGAAAAUGAACCAAAGGCGUAGGGGCGUAGAGAAGCUCAUGGCGAUCUCACCUAGGGUAAUGCCGACGUCGAGGAAGGGCUAGGGUUGGGUGACAAUGGCAGAUGGCGAACGACGGGUUCUGCAAAAGUACGGCGAGGUCAACCGUGGCACAGAGAGCACGGAAACGCGAAAGAGAAGGCUUAGCAGCUUCGCAAAGAUGGCGAGAGGCUCGGCAAGGGACUCACAAAAGCAGAGAUGCGACGGAGCAGAAGCUCGAGCUUGGCGCGAAUCUCAAUGGCGAUUUGCGGCGUGACUAGGGUGGCGAUUCGCUCUAGGGUUGGGAAUAGGGAGUUUGGCGAGGCCGAGGCCGCUACUUAAGAGGCCCUCGACGUGCGGGACACGUCAAACGUGAGGAUCACGCGCGGCCGGUUUGAAUUCGCUAUCGAGUCCGGCUCGAACACGAGCUAGGGGAUGAGUCCGACAUGUGGGUCCCACCUAUCGGCGAAACUGUGGCGCGGGGAAGAGCUGUUAGCGACUGUGGCGAGGGAAGAGCGUCCGCGCGGCUUGAAUGGGCUGGCCAGGAUUCGCGGCCCACUGGUGAGGAGGAGGGGAGGGAGAGUUGGGCCAAGUGGGGAAAGAAAGGGGAAGUGGAUUGGGGCCAGCCCAAGGAAGAGAAAUAGGGCGCAGGAAGCUCUCUUGCCGAAUUCCAGGGAGAGAGUGGGGAAGAAAAUAAAUCUCCUUUUCUUUUUCUUUCAACCUUUUGCUCAAGUAAAAUUCAAAAAGAAUUUGAAAACCACUUAGAAUUUGAAACAACCACUAAAGCAAAAAUAAAUGCAGCAGCAUGGAUGCUCAAACAUGUAUCUAGACCUUAUAGUUGAUUUUAAUUUAAUAAAAAAAAUAUUAUUUACUACAUUACAAUGCUCAUACAAAUACAAUAAAUCAAUUUACCUUAUUUUCAAAAUAUGCAAAUUUUAGGGUGUUACAUCUUUCCUGUGCGGCCUGCCUCCCUCUCCUCUCUAUGUAGUGGCAGGCCUCCCUUCCCACCCGCGUAGCGGCACACCUCCCUCUCCCUCAUGUGAUGGCUCAACGCGAAAACGAUGGUGGCAGGGCUAGCACAGCAGCUCAUAAGUCAAGGCAGAAAGUAUUGUUGGCUGAUUUAUUGUGAGAGAAAAACACUGCUAAAUGGCUGGCAGAUUCGGCUGAUAAGCCCAAACGAACAAAAUGUGGUCGGUUGUGCUCGUGGUGGCAAGCCAUAUAGCACGCAACCGCCUGUGCCCACGGUGGGAGGGACUUGCGGCCAUGUUGUAGCAUGUGCUUGCUGCCGGCUGGAUUUGAGCGGCAGCAGUGGGGGCUCGCGGAUCCGAUGAGUGGUGGUGGUGAUGCUUCGAUGUGCUUUGGGGCCUCGUCGAUGGGCUCAGCAGGUCCUAUGAAAGGGCUUGCUGUCUUUUUUUAUUGAUUAAUCUAGAUGGGCAUACGGCCACCUUAGGUCCUCAUUAACACUAGAGGCGGAAGAGAUGCAUGUCUACGUAUGAUAAUGGAUUUUGGCCGACAGAGAAUCCUAGACAUAGAGAUGGAAACUAAUCCUAUAGUAUCGUAAAAACAGGAUUCUUCUACUUUGACAAAUACAAACUUCACAUUUCAAAUUAGUUAGAUUAGAUAACACAGUGGACUUGAGGUAAAUAUUGUGAUGGCAGAACUAACAAUGAUUACAGUAGACUUCCAAAUUAAAAUUUAAUGAGGCCAACUGACUACAACAUGGUCUAGCCCGGGGGGCUGGGAUUGUCAUCUAUGAUCUAUUGUCACCUUCCGCUUGACAGGCUGGAGGUAAUGCUACUGCUCCCAACUAUGGAUGUAAACUGAUCAAAGCCUUCAUUUUGCAUCAGGGCCAGAACGCUAUAACUUAAGUUUGUGGGCAUCAUUUCUGGGAGUGGCAUCUCCCCAUUGAGGUAUUUUAUGACUUGCCUCAUACUGGGCCUUGCAUUACAAACUGGGUGUGCACACAUCAAUCCUAGAUUUAAUGCUAGGCAUACCUCAUCUGCAUUGUAACUACCUUGUAACCUAGUGUCCAUUGUGUAUGUGAGUGAUCCUUCCUGCCAAUGCUUGACAACCCAAUCAAUUAGGAUCUGCGAACUAUCCUCUGCAUGACUAUUGAUUGGCCUUUGCCCACAAGUUACCUCAAGAAUGAAAAUUCCAAAUGCAUACACAUCUGUUAGAGGUGUUGCCUUACCGGUACGGGCCAGUUCUGGAGCAAUAUAUCCCAUGGUACCAACUACAUGUGUUGUCUGAGGGUUAGUACCGUGAUCAUACAAUCUUGCAAGACCAAAAUCACCUAGACGUCCAUUCAUCUCACUAUCAAGUAGCACAUUGCUUGCUUUGAUGUCCCGGUGGAUUACAACCUUUUCCCACCUCUCAUGCAGAUACAAUAGGCCAGAUGCAACACCUUUGAUGAUUUGAAACCUUUGAGCCCAAUUCAGAGUAGGCUUAUCCUCUUCACAAUGUAAAUACUUAUCAAGACUUCCAUUUGACAUAUAGUCAUAUACUAAUAGUAGUUCACCUUUUCUUCGACAAUAACCAAGUAGCUGGACCAGGUUGCGAUGACGGAGACGACCAAUACUGACAAUCUCGGCAAUAAACUCCUUCAUUCCCUGCUUUGAUUCAUGUGACACCCUCUUUACCGCAACCUCUAAUUUUGAGGUGGGAAGCACACCUUUAUACACCUUCCCAAAUCCUCCUAAGCCAAGUAGAUUCUUAUUCUUGAAUCCAUCUGUAGCAUGGAAUAAAUCCUUGUAGGGAAAGCGGUGUGGCCCGAACUCGGCUUCCCAAUCUUCUUGUACCUCAGCAUACUUCAUUCGCCUCCGCACAAAUAGAAUAACAGUUGUCCCAAGAAGGAUAAUGAAUGUGGCUGUGACUAUUGGUAGGAUGAUCUCAAGCACCUUGGACAGAGGUUUUGGGCCAACAUCAGGUAGCUUUGGCAACUUGGCAAUAUCAAUAAGUGGAGCUGGGCUGUUAAUGCCUAAGCUCCAGCCGAGCACACAAUAUAAGGAAUUGAUUGGACCAGUUGAUGCAGAGAAGCCAAUGUAGGAUGGGUCUUCCAAUACUGUUGAGAGGUUGUACGUAGCUGACAGUAGAGGUUUGGAUGGUUUGUCUACCCUGAGGGGAGCCAGUGUCACGUUGAUCUGUGCGGUAUCACCAUUAUAGUCCACCCAAACUUGCAUCUCUUUGCGACUAACAAGGGACAAGUUUUGGAAUUUACCAUUCUUGUCAUCAUAGAAGGCAGCUGACCGGGACUGAAAUGAGGUGAGACUGUUGAUGUUGAUGCCGAUGUGGUUGUCAUCAAUGUCAUUGAACUCAGUAUUUUGGCUACUAUCAAGCUCGACUGCAAAUAUGUGGUUGCUUGCUUUGCCAUCACUUGUUUUGUUGAGGAGACCCAAGUAUUGUGAGUGCUGUGCACCAGAGAAAUCCUUGGUCGGAGAGAUAAGGAAAGUCAUGCCAUCGGUACAUUGAUCAGAGUAGAUGGGGACCAUACCGAACACAAAGGUAACUGAGAAAGACUGCACCAUCUCACCAGGGGACUUGCGGAAUCGCCAUGGGGCUGGGUAGAACGCAUGGCCUUUAAGGUGUACUGUGUGAUUGGUCAGCUCAAGGACACCGUCUGGUGUAACCGUGGCUGUUCCGUCGAGGGUGAGGUUAUUGCCGGAGAAGCCGGAGUAGACGAACUGAUCCUCACUGGUGACAGUGGUGAAGCAUAAAAGGUUUAGGGCCACGGAAAGUAGCAAGGGUAAAAGGAAGGGUAUAUGCAAAAGAUUAGGCAUUUCUGCAGCUCUAAGAACUCAAUAAGAUGCAGUGCAGGAAUGGGGGUGUGGCUUUCAUGGGAUCGGGAAGUGUGUAUUUGCAGCGAUGGGGUAGCUCUUUGGCAUAGAAGGGAAGAAAAUCUAGAGGUGGAGGAGAUUGUUGCAGAAGGUUUCUCUCAGAAGGUAAUAUAUCUAGAGGUUAGGAAGACAACCAACUAUCUAAGGUGUCGCAAAAUUAUACAUCAAAGUGACGAAUGAAAAGGUAUCUAUGACAAAGUCCAGACCAGACGAGUCAAGCCAUGAAAAAUGUGACUUGUAAGGCCAAAUCUGGAAUGCGAGAAUAAUGUUUCUUUGUUUGUUCAAUGGUAUGACUGCAAGAACAUUUCAGGAGACAGUUGAUAAUAGGCCGGGGCAGGGAAGUCUAGUGAGUCGUCGCACUCAGUUUGAUCUGAAUGAUAUUGUUGAUUGAUGACAUGGCUUUUUAUAUUUGUCAGAAUCAGGGCUCAGAAUUGUACCUCCUGAUGAGCCAGUUUGGAGUUUGCCAUGCUAGGUUGAUUUCACACCUUUCCAGCCGUACAGUCAAAACUUAUGGUAUGUAUUUCACUACUGGAACUAGUUGUUUUCACAUCUUAAAUUGUCCAGCAGUUCUUUCAGAAAACGUAUUACACGUCUGGAUAAAGUUAUAUUCACUACAUGAUGCUUUAUUUUAAUAUUGUCACAUUCCCAAACAGAACGACUAGAAAACUAGUUCUAGCUCCUGAGUAAAGUUGCGAUCCUUAUUGAUUCUUCACACCUUCUGUGUAUGGAAGCCUAAGGUAACAUUUGCCUUCGACAUUCGUAUUCCAAAUGACAUGGUUCUGAACCAGUUCUUCACAUAAGUUUUUGAGCAAACAGGAGGUGCUUGCCCCUACUGGAUAUAUAUAUAUAAGAAAAUAAAGCCAGUCCAAAAGAACAAAAACAGAGAGAAAAAAAUUGCAAGACCAUAGCGAUUUCAUGUUUGAUGUUAGCUUGAAAGCAUCCACAAAGGGUGGGCCUUAAAUAUCAAAUCAUUUCUCACCAACCAGAUGCUCUAGGUUAGCAAGACAAUUAUUUCGAAAAGCCAGCUUCUUCACAUAAGUUAUUGAAUUCCGUCUCCUUUGAUCCUUUCCGUUGUUCACCCCUUUGUUUGGGCUGCAAAUUUCUCCGCAUAGGGACGCUAUGUGAGAAAUCUCUCCACUGGAUUGUCCUUUCAUCAUGAACUUGACAGUUGACACUAUAAGUCUCUUCUAUUGCAGCUGCCAUCAGCAUGUUUGAACAUCUGAACGUUUCACGGUUCUUUACCUGCCAAGCGUAUAUAUAGACAGAUUGACACAAUCUUCACCCGGCUUCUUGGACUUUUUCAGAACACGUAACCAGGCAAAGUCUUGGCCUGCUUGUCGAUUACCAAAUACCCACAGAACAAAGCGACUUCAUAUCAAUACUGGCCCACCAAAAUUCGUCACCACCUGUCUCCCUCUUGAAUUAGUUUAUUUGGAAAAUGAGAUCGUUUGAGGCCCUUGGAUAUGCAUGUAUAUAGCCUACUAUAUACAUGCUCGUUAUAGGCCUCCACAAAAUCUCCAUAUUAGUCCUCACGUGACACCUUAUUGGAAGAAAAAGAUAAAUUCUAGAAAUAUCACAGAAAAACAGAGAUAUCUUGUCUAUGGUUACGUAGAUUCUAAACAUCAUGUCUCAUAAUAGCAAUUAGAUAUAUUUUAUUUUGUAAAAGUUUACCCACUUUUGAUAUUAUAUAAAAUAUAAAGACAACCAUUAAAUUUGCAUCUAAAUUAUCCAAUUAUACAAUUAUUUAAAAAAUUAAGUAGCCCUAAGUUUGCAUCUAAGUUUUCCACCUUUGCAAUUAAGAAAGAUAAUAUGAAGGCGAUAGUUUUUGCUUUUAGUUAAAUUAUUUACAUUUGCCAUCAUGAAACAUAAUAUAAAAUAUCCAUUUCAUUUCUAUCUAAAUUAUUAGGCUUUGUCAUUAUAACAAAUAAACUAAAAUAUUCCCCAUACCUAUGUCCAAAUACUAGUAUAGGCUACACCAUAGUUAAAUUCAAACUAAGCAAAACUGUUAUAUGCCACCAUUUGACUAAAUAAACAUGAAUGCAUCAGGAAAAAUAUUUUUAGUAUCUUAUUAACCAUGCAAAAAUAUCUUGGUUGUUUGUUAAACACAAAAUAUUAGUUUUAGUAGUUUAUUAAUUAUGGAAAAAUAUUUUUCUUCACAAGCACUACUACAGAAACAUCAUUAAAGCAGCUGAUUCGUAACCCUCACCCCUCACCACCAGUUUUGAACCUGGGCAGUGAAAGAUCGAAAAUAAUGACAUGCCCACUGUCUUUUGGAAUCCAGCGGUGAUAAUAGGUUGCCACUGUCGUUUGGUAACAUGAGCUUGUGGUGAUAGUGGUUUUCAUAAAUAAAAGAAACGAAGAAAAAAGCAAAAAUGUUUAUUUUAAUCCUUCUUAGAGAAGUCACAAGUCUACCUAUGUCCUCACGUACCUCCUAUAACCAUCACUCUAGUCCAAACUCACUUGUGUCUAUAUGACAUAUUCAUUCCACUAGUAUUCACUGUUAAGUUUUUCAAAAUAAAUAUUUAUGACUCUAAGUGACUUUAAACAAAAAAAUCAUCUAUAAGUUGUAGUUGUAAUCGAGAUAUGCAACUUUGGUUUGGUCAUUUCGCCAACUGACAUUGUUUGACAAAUUUGAAUUUCCAAUUGCAAGAACUUGAGACAUACUUUUGGGACCUCAAAUAAUUUCAAAUGGGAAAUUCAUCAACUACAAAGUUGGAGUUCUCAUUGGGAUCUACAACUUUGGUUUUGGCAAAUUAUCCUUUCAAGGUCGUUUGAAAGUUUUGAAUUCUAAAAUUUUAGAACUUCAAAUAAAAAUUUCAGACCACAAACGAUUUCUAAUAAAAAAGUUGUUAAGAUCUACAACUUUGCAUUGGGAUAAUUUUUUUAUCUGAGGUCAUUUAUACAAUUAAAAAAUAAAUUUCAAAAUAUGAGAACUUCAUACACAAUUCUGGGAUUGUAAAUGACUUUAAAUAAAAAAUUCAUCAAAUACAAAUUUGUAGAUCCAUAUAAAGUUUGUUUUCAUAUUUUUUUUCUUGAAAAAGAUAAAUUUUGGUAUGCUGCAACAUGGUUAUCACCACCCGGAUCAUACGACAUGCUGAAGGGAAAAAACAUCUACCACUGGUUCAUAUGGGGAGCCGGCAUGAUGAAGAGCUCAUCAUAUAUUUGUUUUUAGUGCCGUCUAUUAUAUUGUUCCAUGAGCAUUAAGCUGGCAUCCCAUAAAAGUAUUUACAAACAUGAAUAUAGUAUUAGUAAAUAAUGUUUGUUGAUAAUCUAUGUACCCUUGGGAUAAUAUUUCUUGAUAUAAAAGAGAGUUAGAAGUUUGAAUCUUUAAAUAUGGCCAGGAAAAAUAUAGAACAAAAAAGUACAAACUGAUGUUUGGUUGAACCACCUAAAGGUUCAUGCAAAAGAAAAAAAAAAUCACCUAGAUUUUUGGCUGUAUAUAGCAUUCUUAGCAUCGAGCCACACUCUACAACAAGCACAUCUGAGCGAUCCUGUCAAGGGAUCCAUUUCACAAAAAGGAAACAUAUUCACAUGUUUCUUUGCUGAAAGCUUAAACUGAGAUAACGAGUAGCAAUUAAAUCCCGAAAUAUGGUAUGCCAUGCUGGUUAUUAAGAUGUUUGACAGCUAGCUUGCGUUAAGUUAAAUAUACUCCCUCCAUCCCAAAUUAUAAGAAGUUUGACUUUUUUGACCUCAAGUUUGACCACUAAUUUUAUUUAAAAAAUGUAUAAAAUUUAGGUUAUUCUUGAAGAACUUUUAUUAAUAAAUCAAGCCACGACAAAAGAAAUAAUAUUAUACACAAAUUUUUGAAUAAGACGAGUAGUCAAACUUGGUAUAAAAAAGUCAAACGUCUUAUAAUUUGGGAUAGAUUGAGUAAAACUUAGCCGGCAUGAAACGAACGUAGACCUGACAUAAGGAAACCACGUUGAUACAGAUGUAUCAUAGGAAGUGGCUUGUGAAACCAGAACUUGAACAGUUCCAACGCCGGUGGUACAUAACCAUUGUUGCAGCAUCCUUUAAUUUCAUUGAGAAAGUUAUAACCAUGUUCCAACGCUACCCAGAUCAUACACAGCUCAUACAACACAGAUUUGUAAAACAAAUAUAAGCUGUAUGGCAGUAUGGCAAAGCAUCCUUUCAUUAUCACUUGAACUGUUCCAACGCUGGAUGAUCAACCUAUGUCAGGUUCCCUCCUGCCUAGAAAGUUCGCUUUGACUGGGUGUCCUCUCGCCACAAAGGGCGCAUCCAUCACUUCUUCCAGCUCGACUCGGUUUUCUUAAUUCCAGUGGCUGAGCUAUUAGUGGAAGGAGUCUCCAGAACAGCAACUAUAUUACUUAAUUAAUCUAGAGGUUUGGAAGACACCGAACUAUCUCGAAAGUAUACAUCAAAGUCACAAAUGAAAAUGAAUCCAUGACAAGUCCAGAGGAGCCAUGCCAUGUGGCAAGUAACUCCUAAUCUUGAAAUUCAAGAAUCAUUUUUCUUUGUUUCUUUGAUGCGACUGCAAGAACAUUUCAUGGGGUGUUGACAGUACGCUGGGGGCAGGAAAGUCUAGCGAGACCACUUCAGAUUGAUCUGAAUGACAAUGACAUGGACGAUUGGUGACAUGAUUUUUUUUAUUUCACAGCAGGAUUGGACCUGCCAAUGAGCGCUGUGGUAGGUUGAUUUCUAUUUCCAUUGGUGCAUAUAGUCAAAACUUCUGGUAUGCGUUUUGAAUAGAAUUGUUCAGCAGCCAUUCCUGAAACCGUUUUACAUUUUUGGAUGUAGUUGUUUUUCACUCCAUGUGACAUUCCCAUGCUCCAGUGCUCACAACUGAAAAAACUAGUUGUCAAUAGUGAGUAAAAAGUUGUAAUUUCUUUGCUUCUUCUUCUUCUUCUUCUUCUUCUUCUUCUUCUUCUUCUUCUUCUUCUUCUUCUUCUUCUUCUUCUUCUUCUUCUUCUUCUUCUUCUCUGUACGAGUGACUUUUAGUGCAAAGGUCACAUAGUGACCAUACAUGAAACCUUUUAUGAAACCAGAGUAUGCGCUCCACCAUUUUUAAUUUUCGCACAUACACAGGUUGCUGCAACAUGUACCCUAUGUAGCACAUUCUCCGAUGCUCUAUAGCAGGGGCACUAGAUAAAUCUAGUACCGAAGUCUAGUUACAUGACCCUCUACUCUUUCUAUAGUGAGUGACAUAUGGUGCCACCCUACAAAUCUGGUGGCCCACCUGUCAGUGGGAGUGAGGGACAUUCGGACCACUCCGGAGGUGUCAGGCUACAUUCUCAAGUUACUUCCCCUCCGGCGUUCUCCAGGACAGCCGGCACCAAGUCCUUUUCUCAAAAGCUUUUAAAAUUUGCCAACUUCAAAUGUGUUCCAACUUUGAAUACAAUUCCUUUAAACACUGAGUUAUUUGCUUUUCAAAAAAAUCAAAAGCAUUUUCAUUUACUUCUUCACCACAUCACUAUGUCUAACACACAUGUAAAGUUGGACAUCACAUAUGAGCAUUAGAUAACUUUUAUCACAUUAACAUUCUACUCAUACAACUAUUCUAAACCCGAUUGUGCACUCUAUUGCACCUUGGCCAGCAAAAUUGAAACCCCUAGCUUAUACCUUUGCCUCGGGCUGCUUCCAUUUGCUAUCUCCCCUUGUCUCUCUAAAAUUGAGAACUUCAUCACUUGUGGAACACCAUCAUCUCCAUGAUAGCCUCCUCUUGCUGACUAGCUCAGCCCUUGGGUGUGGACCUAACCUAGUUUAUCAUAGCACUUAAGCGCAUUGUUAGUCCACUAGUUGUCACUCAAUUAUCAAAAUCAAACUAGGGCUUUUAGGUUGCGAGGAUCUUGGGCCAUGACCUCACAGCGACAUCGAUCUGCGUUUGCGAGACGUCAAUCAUGGAUCUAUCCCUAGAGACCUCUUUUGCUCUCCUACUCCAAGCUCCGCCACCCACCUAAUCGGCACCCUAUGAGGCUCCAUCAUCACUUGGUUCUGGCUCCUUUCUCCAUCACUUGGUGGGUUCACAGUGGGUCCUUCCUACAUUGAGCAGCAGCGAGGUGGAGAGCCCCAGGAUCUUUGCAAGAUCUAGAUGGUUGCAAGAUCUGAGCGAGCAAUGUUGAAAUCUAAGCGGAGGGCAUCUUCCUCGCAUGUGAACCCCUCAUCUCAUCUCCCCCAAUUUCUCUUCUCUUAAAUAUGUGCCCUCACUCUUUCUUCUUCUCAAAUUUGUGGCCCACGGCGAUGGAGGCAUCCAUGAAGCAGCAACAAGUGGAGGCGGGGACACAGUGGCCUACAUAGCUCAAUUUCGGCUAGGUGGUCAGGGUGAGCCACAGAAGGCACAUGCUUCAUUUGCAAUGACCGCGGAAUCUCAUUGGAGUGGGCCUACUCCAAGGAGAUCUGCUGGCGCAGAUAGCCCCCAUGGGCUCAAAGGUAGGGUUUAGUUGCCAGGUGGCUUUUCUAGAAGCAGAGGUGUCCACCCAUCUUUGUUGUUCUUGACUAAGAGAGAUCCAGAAGCGCCUCAGAAAAACCUAAAUUGAUCGACUAUGAAAUUUUGUACUGCAGCCUGCAGUAGUGUACUGGCUUUUUUAAUUAAUGUGAUGGAAAAUCCUCAACUGCUAAUUAAGUGAAAUCUUAAAUAAAAUAUGUUUGGGGCUAUAAAUAACUGUAACAAAAAAUAUUUGAGAUAAUAUGAACAUGUGUAUAUUCUUGAUCUCCUAGGUCUUCUAGGUCCUACACAUGUUUUCCGAACUAAAGAUUGAGGUGUAGGUGCUAAUUAUUUCUUGUAAUUCCAAAUGCCAAAAAAAAUUACAUUGAAAAACUUGGUCUAUAUAGGAUAUCGAAAUUUUCAUUACAAAUGUCGUAACCAGGUACAAGGAAUAUAUGUGGAAUAUAAAUCAUUACAAAAGUACAUCUAAUACAUUUAUCCUAGAUUUUAUUGUCAACCAAAAUAAACAGGACAGUGGUGGCAGCAAGCCACUUUGUUAUCUUCCAUCUAGUGAAAACGAUACUGAACCAAAGUCCAUCAUUAUUGGCGAUGGAUACAAUGAUACUGUGGAUUUGUCAAGCCGUGUUUCAUUCUGCAGCAAGGCCAACAUAUGAAAACUGAAGUGUGCUGGUAGUAGCUCUGGUAGUGUCAUCUCACCAUCGAGAUACUGUAAAACUUGCCUCAUGCUUGGCCUUGCAUCAGGAGAUGGGUGUGAGCACAGCAAUCCUAACUUUAAUGCGAGGCAUGCUUCGUCGAUAUCAUAUUUACCUUGCAGAUUGAUAUCUAUUGUAUCAAGGAGUGAGUCUUUAUGCCAAUUAUGAAUAACCCAAUCGGCCAACAUGAGCUGGUUGCCUCGGGUGUCUUCAUUGAUAGGCUUUUUUCCACAGGUAACCUCAAGAAUGAAAACACCAAAAGCAAACACAUCGGUUAGUGUUGUUGCCAUGCCUUUGUGUACAAGCUCUGGAGCUAGGUAUCCUAUUGUGCCAACAACAUGCGUGGUAUGUGGGUCAGUGCCAUGAUCAUAUAAUCUGGCAAGGCCAAAAUCUCCCAGCCGUCCAUUCAUGUUUCUGUCAAGAAGAACAUUGUUUGGUUUGACAUCUCGAUGGACGACAACUUUGUCCCAUUCCUCGUGGAGGUAGAGCAAACCCGAUGCAAUGUCUUUGAUAAUCUUAAACCUUUGUCCCCAGUCUAAAGUGGUCCUGCCCUCUUCAUCAUACAAGUACUUGUCAAGGCUUCCAUUUACCAUAUAGUCAUACACUAGAAAGAAUUCACCCUUUCUCCUACAAUAUCCAUGCAAUUGCACAAUAUUGUUAUGUUGAAGAUGCCCCAAGCUGACAACUUCAGCAGUGAACUGUUUUAUGCCUUGCUUCGAAUCAUAUGGUACCAUCUUUACUGCGACUUCUGAUUUUGACUUUGGAAGCACUCCCUUGUACACCCUUCCAAAACCACCUACACCUAUCAAGUGCUUGGAAUUGAAGCCUUUGGUGGCAUGAAACAAAUCUUUGUAUGUGAAUCUCUGUGGACCAUACUCAACCUCCCAAUCUUCGCGUAUCUCCUUAUACCUAAAAUGUCUCCUGAUGAGAAUAACAACUGUAGUACCAAUAACUAAUACCAAAAGGGCAGAUGCAAUUGGAAGGAUGAUCUCUAGGAGUUUAGAUGGAGGUCUUGGACCAAGGUAAGGUAGUUUGGGUAGUUUGAUGGAGUCAAUGGUUGGAGCGGGGCUAUUCAUACCAAAACUCAAGCCAAGAAUACAAUGAUGCCCUGUGCUUAAGCCUGUUGAAGAUGAGAAGCCAAUGUAUGCUUCCUCCGUGAGUAUUGUGGAAAGGUUGAAGGCUAAAGACAGUAGUGGCGUCACAGGUUUUUCUAGGCCUAGAGGGGCUACGGUCACAUCGAUCUGCGUCUUCUUGGCAUCAUACUCCACCCAGGUUUGGAUUGGCCCACUUCCAAUUAGGGAUAGGUUUGUGAACGUGCCAUUCUUAUCAUUGUAGAAGCCUGCUGUGUAGGAUUUCAAAGAGUUGAGGCUGUUGAUGUCUAUGCCGACAUGGUUGUUGUCAAUGUCCCCAAACUCAGUAUUUUGGAUGGUAUCGAGCUCAAUUGCAAAGAUAUGAUUGCUCAGACUACCAUUGUUUGUGGAGUUAAAAAGGCCCAAAAACUGUAUUGAGUAAGCGUCAGUGAAGUCUUUACUUGGGCUAAUGAAGAAGGCAAAGCCAUGGCCUCUGAUGUCUCCAAAUGAAGAGAGGAUACCAAACACAAAGGAGAGGGAAAAGGAUUGAACCGUGCCAUCGGGGGACUGGCGGAAGCGUAGCGGAGAAGGGUAAAAUGCAUGACCCUUGAUCCGGGCUGUAUCAUUUGUCAGCUCGAUGAGGCCAGUCGAUGUGAUUCUGGCUGCGCCAUCUAGGGUGAGGUUGCUGCCGCUGAAACCAGUGAAGACGAAUUGUUCAUGGUCACUAUCGGCGAUACUGAAUUCUGGUAUAAACCCUACAAUUAGGAAGAGGAGGAUAGUCAUAAUAAUGAGCUUCAUGCUGGUAGUGGUCAUGGCUAAUUAUGUCGACUUGUAUUCCUGGUAUGUAAAUUUAUAGCCUGGUAUGGCACCCAACUUCUUUCAAGAGAUACGACCUAGUCUACACCACCCAAUUGGCACGACAUGGAAACAGCAGCUGGCGGUCCUCAGGGGUUGGCAAACUUGGUAUCAAAUGACAUCAGAGUGCAGUAGAUUCAACAAAGUCCGCAUUAUUUGUUUCGAGGACGUUGAUUACUUACUGAGCUUAUUAGUCUUGCAGACGUUUAGCAUGAUUGAAAAUUGACUAGCAAUUUUAAGUACGCUACAGGUCUUAAAUGUCUCGUGGUGGGCAUGUUUAAUUAUGAGUAUGUAACAUGCAAUAUUUCAUACGAAAGAAUCUUAAUAUAUUACUAUUAAAAGAACAACUUUAUAUAAUGANNNNNNNNNNNNNNNNNNNNNNNNNNNNNNNNNNNNNNNNNNNNNNNNNNNNNNNNNNNNNNNNNNNNNNNNNNNNNNNNNNNNNNNNNNNNNNNNNNNNUAUAUAUAUGGAAAUUCAUUUCUACACCGUGUAGUUACUCUUAUCUUCAAUAAACCACAUUAUGUAUGUGUUGAUAUUUGUUUAUCGAUUUGAGUAUGUUUAUAUACUCAUAUUAAAAUAGUCUAGAUCUUACCAUGCGAAAAUUUUUCAAAGACAGUCAUAUUUUUAAUAUAUUACUAAAAUGCCACUACUAUAUUAUAUACAAUAAGUAUAACCGCAUACUUUAUGUAUGUAUCCAUACUUAACAUAUAUAUCAACCUAGACGGUUUAGUACGAUUACAUACUUCGUGUAUGUACAUUUUGUCUGCUCAUAUACACCCUAAAUCUAGAGAUAGACAUGAGAGUAACUACACGGGCGUGUAGAAAAAAUGUGUCCUGUAUAGUUAAUCUGUAGCCUCCUCCAUUUAUGAUAAUAUCUAUAUAUGUUUACAAUAGUUAGGUUACUAUAACAAGAAACCUGCUAAUCCGUGACGAAAACUUUCGGUCACGGACCAUCAAAAAACUGUCACAAUGCAAUAUUUGUGACGGUUUAGAGAAUGUCACCUAUUGAGUGUCAUGGAUUAAUCUCUAUUACGAUUUUCACAAAACCAUCACAAAUUAACAGAAUCCGUGACGAUCUCAAACCGUCACAGUUGAGCCUGGCCUAGUUAGCCUAGUCUAAACCCAUUACCUGUGACGGUUCUAAACCUUCACAUAUGAAUUGCCACAUCAUCUAGACUGCUUAUGUGGAUGAUGACAUGGAUACUUAUAUCACCAUCUAGCCCAUCUAUUUUUGUUGUAAGAAAUCCCAGACAUUUAUUGAAUGACAAAUAUGAUGACAUUUCUUUAUUGCAUUCCCAAUUACAGAUUUACAACCAUUACUCUGUAGUUAGCUACAAAAUAACUUAUUCUGCAGCCACUUUGAGUUACGAUAAUUACUAUGUUAAUUUACGAGAUUAUAGUAACUCUAUACUAAGUUGUUUACUAUAACGUUAUGAUAAAUAUCUUUAUGUGUUAUAGUAACUCAACUAUUGUAAAUAUGUAUUGAUAUUAUUGUAAAUUAGUAUAUAAAAUUAUCGUAAAUGGAGGUGGCUACAGAAUAUCUUAUUUUGUAGUUGGCUACUAAAUAUACUCUCCAUAUAUAUAUAUAUAUAUAUAUAUAUAUAUAUAUAUAUAGGGUUGGUAUAUUGGGAGCCCAGGGCUACAAAUAGCUAUUGGAAGCCCCAGCCAGCCAUCCCACCUAACCCACUACGGAGCUGACAUGCGCGUAGGUGGUGGACCUCUUGGGGACCCAACCAAUCAAACGCAUAAAAUUCUAGGUCAGACUGCGUAGAAAGUUUUUUAUUCCGACAAUGUAUAAAAUCUAGUGGUUGCAUGAAUUAAAAUCAAUUCGUUACCACAUAGAAACCUUUUUGCGAGUUAGUCGUUCCACCUAACUGCACCUGACACGUACUGACACAUGUAGUCAUGUAUGCAUCCAUUCUAAUCUCGUCCAUUUUUUCUUAAUAAUUCCUCAAUGAAGUUUUCGAGUCAAAAACGGUUUUCACCAUUAAACUCCUGAUAUUUUUGUGCAUGAUUCAAGAUCCAUUGUGAAUAUUUUUUUGAAAAAAUUUAAAAUUCAUAAAUUUUAAAUUUGAAUCCUAGCACGUGAUGGCCGAUUGGAUGCGUAGAAUCAAGUAUCAAGAUGCGUAAAAACGUUUUUACGUCGAUGUUGCAUAGGAAUUAGUUGUUGGGUGAAUAAAAAUUAAUUUUGUUAUCGCAUAAAAACUCCUCUGCGACAUAGAUAUUCCACGAAACAACCGUAAUUGCCUCCACCAAUAUCAUGCUCCUCACUAUAGGGUGUAUAACUAAUAUACGAACAAUUCAUAAAACAUAGAGACUGGACGUGUAAAAUAUUGAGAUGAUCUGGUCUUCCUCUAAACUUUGACUUUUGAAUCAUGGUAUAUGAUAGCCGAUUGGAUGCAUAAAAUCAAUGGCCAAGAUGCACAGAAAAUUUUUGGUGCUGACGUUACAUAGAAGUUAGUGGUUGGAUGAAUAAAAAUUAAUUUUGUUACCAUCUAAAGACGCGAGAUGGACAUUUCAUCUGACACAACCGUGAUUUGAAUCAUGGCACGUGAUGACGAUUAGAUGCAUAGAAUCAAAUAGUCAAAAUGCGUCGAAAAGUUUUUGGUGCCAACGUCGCAUAGAAAUUAGUGGUUUGGUGAAUAAGCAUAAUUUCAUUGUCGUGUAAAAACCCUCUCUUCUGCAUAUUAUUGAUUUGAAAAAUCGUGACCGCGUCCAACCACACCUUGCUUUCUAGAGAGGAUGCAUAAGUAAUAUAGGAAACAAUGUAUAGAAACACAUAGAACAUGAGAACCGCACACGUAAAACAUAAAGACGAUCUCGCCUUCUCAAAAAUUUAAAAUUUAAAAAAUAGCACGUGAUAGACGACCAGAUUUAUAAAUUCAGUGAUCAAGAUACACUUAAAUAUUUUUCGUGCCGACAUUACAUAGAAUUUAGUAAUUUGAUGAAUAAAAAGUGAAUUUAUUGUCGCAUAAAAACAACAUAGACCUACUCCAACAAUGUAUAGAAACUUAUGCUCACAAGCAUUAAGAAUACAAAAGUGCAUAGAAGUGCUCUAUUGUGUGUAUAGAAACUUAUGCACACAAGCAUAAGAACACCAAAUUUAACAAACAAAAUGCAAAAAUCCUUGGUCACGUCGCGCUGCUCCUUUGCUAUCUUCCAUCCAACCGACCACCACCGCUGAUUCGCAUUAGCGCCGCCACCGUGAACUACCAGCACCGCGGCCAUAGAUUGCAUCAUGCAUGGACUUGCCACCAGAAUGGUUCUGAAUGUGUAAAAUCUUAAUUCAUCAAGCAUAGAACCCACGAAGCAUAAAGAUCCAAAGUCAAUUGCACAAAAACCUAUUCAUUGCACAUAAUACCAAAGAAAUGCAUAAAAAUCAAAAUCAAAGCAUAGAAAUCCUGCUUACUUGCGUUGAUAGCUUUUCAUUUCAUGCAAACCACCUAUUCAUCCAAGGCUGCAAUCAAAAAUCAGAUAAAACCCAUACAACUAAGCAUAGAAGAAUUGUGCGCAGAUAAUUAUUCUAACAGUGCAUAGAAAAGUGCUCCACAAUGCAUGUGAACUAAAAAUCCAAGGCUACAUAGAGAUAAUUAUUCAAAUAAUAUAUGUCGAAUUGUUCUAACAGUGCAUAGAAGACUGCUCCACAAUGUAUAAAGACUUCUUCAAAAUUUAGAAUUUGAAAUCAAUUAGGGUGGAAACAAAUACAACUAAGCAUAAUCACAGUUUCACCAUGCAUCAAAAUCUAUACAUGCAAAUAUAAGAACUAUUAUCUUUCCUUUGGAUCAGCAUGCAAAAAUCUUAGCACCCAACCAACAACAAAAUGUAUAAAAUGUGCUCCAAGCAAUGUAUAAAAAUAGUAGUAACAAAUCAGAGAAAGUUUUGAGUAUACACAUAGAAAGACUGAGGAUAAUCAUACAACCUGCAUAGAAAAAAUAUGAAAAAUAAAUCACAGAAGUGGAAAUGUUGAGCACCCUCUGCAGCCAGCAAUGCUAGAAUGCUCCCAAUAAAUCACUGAGUAGUGCGUAGAAACAUGAUACUAGUUUUUUAUCAGGUACGAGAACACAAUUUCAUCAUGCAUACACAAUUAGGCAUGAAACCAUAGUAACCAAGUAAAAAAUAAAAAAAUAUAGAACUAGUCACAGAAGUCAUCACCAUAGGAGAGGCAUCAUGUCGGAGCCAAUGAGGUGGGCCAAGCCCUGUGUUCCAAGUCUAAAAAAAUACAAGCAAUCAAAUUUCAUAGAGUCAGACUAGAUCGGAACAUUUUAAAUACAUCCGAAAAGUUUCUAUGCAUCCAAGUAAUUAGAAUUCAAUUUCUAUGCACCCAAAAAAUAAUUUUCCAAUUUUGUUCAUACUGUAUCAAGGUUAAGCAUAGAAGAAAGCCUCAAGCUUACAUGAAAAAGAAGUCUAUUUCUAUGCAUAAAAAAUUAACAUUUUAAUUUUUAUGCAUCCUAAAAUAAGAUUUUAAUUUCUAUGCAUCUAGGUGUCUCUCUUCUUCCUCUUAUUCUUGCUGCUCCAGUUCAAGCAAUGAUUAAUUAAUUCUCCUAGAGUGGAAUGGUCAGAAUAGAAAAGGAAUGGAAAUUGGUUUGAAAUUGGGAUCUACAGAGAAGAACGCAGGAACUUACCUAGAAACAAGUAAGCAGCACAUAUCAGUUCAUCAAACAACAACAAGAAAAUAUUAUCACCUCGCAUGUGUAGCUGGUGGAUUGUGUCAUACACUGGACCGCCUCAUGAGUGCCAUGGCCGGAGCGCAUAAAAAUAAAAAUAGAGGCACAUAGAAUCAUCCAUCUGGAGUGCCUCCACCAAAAAACAAGCAUUAGUUAACUCUUCAUUUUCUAAUUUUGAUAUAGAUAGAAACUCACUAAUGCUAGAAAAAUAUGCACAAUACAAAUACUAGAAAAUUAAAGACACAUUAAUAGAGAAACUAUGCAUAGAACCAAAUAAACCCCCCUCUCUAGAGAGACUAGCAACAAUGCUUAGAACUAAAUAAACCCUACAAUCCACAUGCCUUCAUGAAAAAGAGACCCACAAUUUGAAAUUUGAAUCAAGGCACGUGAUGCCCGAUUGGAUGCAUUGAAUCAUAUGUCAAUAUACACAGAAAAGUUUUUUCUGCCGUAGAAAUUAGUGGUUUGAUGAAUAAAAUUUAAUUUUGUGACUGCAUAAAAUCUCUCCACAAGAUGGAUAUUCCUCCAGAAACAACCGUAAUUGCCUCCGCCGACAUCAUGCUUCUCAAUAUAAGGGGUGUAUAAUUAAUAUGUGAAUAAUGCAUAGAACAUGGUUAUCACACGCGUAAAUAUGAAGAUGAUAUCAUUUUCACUAAAAUUUAAAAAAUAGCACGUGAUGGAUGAUCAGAUUCAUAUGCACAAAAAUGUUUUGGCGCCGUCAAUGCAUAGAAAUCAGUAGUUCAAUGAAUAAAGAUUAAUUUUGUUACCACAUAAAAACACAUAGAAACUACUCCAAAACAAUAUAUAGAGUAGAUCAUGAACAAUCACAAUUUUUUACACAAAAAACCAUCGACAUUAAUCCAAUCUAAUGCUAGUUGUUCAUCUGUUCCCGAGUGGAGUUUCCCCCAAAUCGAUCAUCAGAACACGGUCUUGGCCAAUCUAGCAUCUUCUCGAGUACUUUAUCAUUUCACCAUCUGAAAGUAGAAAAAAUAGGCUAUUUUUUAAACAAAUAGGCUAUUAUCAAGAACGAUCAAUCAUUUGGUGCCAAAAUAAACUACCAAAACGAAAUGGCAACAUGUGUUUGGUCCAUCUAUUUAAAUUGAAUUUGCAUUGCAAAAGCAAAAGUGCACACACAUACACUAUCCAAUUCGACAUACCUGGUCAGAAGUCAACUGCAAUAAAGAGAGGUGUUGUUGCAAUACACUGCGCCCGCACAUCAUGUUCGUUGUGCGAGCCAUGUUGCCGCCUUCGCUUCGGCCCGCAACGCCACCACAUGAGCUCGCAGAAGCCUCCACCGCCGCUAGAUCUGAGGAACAGGGCUGCAGGCACACACAUGCCACUAGCACACACCCUACAGAUAGCAAUGGCAACGGGUCAGACGAGUAUUAAGCCAGGAAGCGAAGCCGCUGGGGGCGAUGUCUGCACAGGGUGGCAUGAGCCGUUGCCAUUGGUCCUUUCUGCUCUACCUGCCAUGUCGCCGCCAGCGCAACCUCACCGACCUGUUGCCCCUGUGUGCCCACGAUCUGGAGGAGCGCGGCGAGGAAGUCGCACCCAUCCCCCUUGCCACAAUCUCGAUCGCUGACUAGACUAGAUGGGGGUUGGGCUGCUCGUCGCGAGGAGAGGGGAGCCGGGGCGCCGUCACUCCCCAUCGUGCGCGUGCUGGACAGGCCACCGUCGGGUGGAUGGGGACCUGCGCCAUCGCAGGUGGGAGGCCAUGGGUCGGGGUCGUGGAUGUCGCAGCGUCGCAGGUUGGGGAUGGGGAGCCACGCUCCAGGGUGGUGGCGGCGGGUGGUAGGGUGGCGGCCAGGGGUGGAUGGCUGGGACUAGGGUUUUGGAGAAUAUAUAGGACCCGAGAAAGGUGGAUCUAAUGGGCCGGUGUUUGGGCCAGCUGGUGGACUAAAAUCUGGUUUGGUGCAACCAGAAAAGGUAGGUUUGGGUUGGGGCUUCCAAUAAUUAUUGGGAGCCCUAAGCUCUUAAUAGUAUAUAUAUAUAUAUAUAUAUAUAUAUAUAUAUAUAUACACAUUAACGAUGAAGCAAUUUAAAAAGAAGACUAAUUCAUACAGCCAACAAUUGUCUCUCCAUGCCGCAAAUAAGCAAAUAAGCAACGCAGCCACCUCAGUGGAAUGAUGCUCCUUCGUCAAGCACUUCUCUAAUAUUGUUUAUCCACCAAAUCCCUUCCUAAAAAACCAUAAAAAAGAAACAUUCAAUCAAAUAGUGAUUUAGAUAACUUAAUAGAUAGUUGCUGCCUAAGCUAAAAUACGUUAGUUACAACUAUCAAUUUAAACAUAUCCAGUUGAAAUGGUUGAACUCACAAAGUAUUGUAUAUUUCUGCUUUUAUUGAUGAUAAACUAAUAGAUACAAAGCUAACACCAUUGACCUUUAAAUAUGAACUACUAGAACUUUCUGAGAAUUUAGAAAAGGAAACAGAGAACCAGGCACCAACAUGAACACUGCGCAGCCAAAUUUCAUUCCUCUAGAACCAAAGUCAUUUGAUAUUUUGUUUUUACAUAGACCGGAGGCUUUCUGUAUCUAUAAGUAGGUAGCCAUCCAGAUUUUUGAAUACAACCCUAAGAGGCAUUUCAUCAAGUAAUUUGUGACUAAAAUAUAAUGUACACAUGGGGAUAUUUAUCGUAACAUUAUAGUAAACCAUUUAGUAAAGAGCUACUAUAAUCUCAUAAAUUAACAUAGUAAUUUCAUAACUCAAAGUGACUACACAAUAAGUUAUUUUAUAGCCAUCUACAGGGUGAUAUAUUUAUAAAUAUAUUGCCUUAGUAUUAGGGAUAGAUUAUACUUAAAAAAUCACGUAAACUUUUCGUCCAAAAGAAUUGGUCUGAUGCUAUACCAACACAACUAUAAAAAUGCAAGGAGUAUUUGAACUCUGGUGCUUGCUAACUCAAUAGCCUUAUGAUGUUGUUAACCAGAUCUAGUUCUAAAGUGUGCGCGAGAAUUACAAUAUAAUUGCUCUUCUUAGUUUCGGUGGGCUCGUCAAUGGGCUCAACAGCAUAGUUAUUUGGAUCGGACCGAACCGGCAGUUCGACCGCUAAAAGACCGAAUCAAAGUCUACACCGGUCUUGUUUACUUAAAAAACCGCUUAUGCAAUUGAAUCGGUAAAAACCGAUUGAAGCAGUCGGUUUUUUCUAGAACCGGUGAACCAGCUGGUUUUUUCUAGAACCGGUGUGAUUCCACGUAUGUGUUUACUUCCAUCCAAAAUCCAAAAACUUUUUAAGAUUCUCCGUCACAUCGAAUCUUUAAACGCAUGUAUGGAGUAUGAAAUAUAAACGAAAAUAAAAACUAAUUGCACAGUUUGGUCGAAAUUUACGAGACGAAUCUUUUAAGCCUAGUUAGUCCAUGAUUGGACAAUAAUUACCACAAACAAACGAAAUUGCUACAGUGUCCCGAAAAAAUUUCGAAGAGGAACUAAACAGGGCCUAAUUUUGCUCUGCAGUGUGGAGCCGUGGACGCGUGGUCCUGUCUAAGCUGGUGGAGCGCCUGCACCUACCGUAGGUGGGCCUCCAUGGCUGUUGCUCACUUUGGAAAUUGAAUGUCGCAUGCGUGGAGGUGCCGGCGGCUGCAUCUGGCCCCUUUGAUUUUUGGUAACGCUAGUGCUAAAUGACGUGACUUUUAAAUUUUGAAAUUUUAUAAUUAUUUCAAAUGAACUCCAAAUUAAAUAAAUAAUAUAUCUAUUUUUAUUAUCUCAACAAGCUCUUUGCAAUGAUGUACUCUAAUUUUAGCAUUCAAGUUUGUUUUCGAACAAUAAAUAUUUGAAUUACUAUUCUCGUCAUUUGCAACCAAUUUGUAAGUGCUACAUUUAUUAUCUAUACAUAUUUUUUAAAUAUCUGGUAAACUAACUCUAGAGCGCAGAUGCCUUAGAGUACGUAUGUAGAUUAGUGGGAAGUUACAUAAUUGUGUUUUAUCAUCUUAUUUGUAUAUGUGAAUAUGUGAUCAAAUAUAUAUUGCUAAUUAUUUAUUAUAUUUUUUCUAAAAAAUAUUUAUCAUAUAUCAUUGUAUUACACCGGUUUAAAAUAUUUAUGAGCGGUUCAAUUUAUCCGGUCCAAAGCAAUUGAACCGGCGGUUCAACCGGUUCUUAACGAACCGACGUUUUCACCGGUUCAAUGUCCGGUAGGCGAGGUCGAUUGGCUUGCUGGAUUUUUUUUUGUUUUUAUUGAUUAAUAGAGCUGGACAACUCAAAUGCCUCGGCCGCCUACAUUAAUCUUUUUUACCGCCUUCAUUAAGAUUUUUUUUAAUAUUGUUCCAAACAUCUUGUUUAAAAUACAUUUUUUAUAACAUUUCCAUACUGUCAUUAUCAAAAUAAGAUUUUUUUUCUGCAACACAUGGGCAUUUAUCUAGUGUUACAAUAUAUUAAGAGAGAAAAUGUCUAUAUAUUUUAUUUCCUAAUUAGACGUUCGCAUUUUUUGAGUCUCUCUUAUAUGUUGAGAAAAAUUAUCGGAUAAGCCACGAUCUGCAGAAUAUGUUGUCUCAAUAAGCUAGACAUUUGGCUGUCUUGAUUAUUUUGUUAGAUUAUCUGUCCUAGAUGUAAAAUGACCUAUUUACCCCUCAUCGGCCUCAUGCUCCUCGUCUAGAGCCUCACUGGCAGGAGACUCGGGACAUCCUAGACCUUCCAAAUCCAGUGGGAGGUGGAGAUUCGACAUGAGCCUCUAGAGAACCGGUGGCUGGCUAGAGCCUCACUGGCAGCAGACUUGGGACAUCCUAGACCUUCCAAAUCCAGUGGGAGGUGGAGAUUCGACAUGAGCCUCUAGAGAACCGGUGGCUGGCGGGAGGCUAUGGAGAUCUAGCACUACAAGAUGUGUUGGUUUUUUGACAUUCUAUUUAUGUCAAAAUAUAUGGAAUUAUUGUCACAACUUAAGGUUUAUGACAUUUGGUUGGCGAAAAUUUAAACGUCAAAAAAUUAGCGUCACAAAGUGAUCAUGUGACGUUUGUAUAUUCAUUGUCACAAGGUUAUGACAGUUUAUUGUCACAAGUUCUUGCACCAUGCCAUGUAGAUAGAUGACAUGGUAGGUCAAAAAAUGUCAUAAUUCAAAUACGGCCUGUUAGGGCCCAUAUGAAUGGCAGGCUUAUAGCGGGCUAAAAAAAAAGCAGCCACUUAUUUGGUGCUUUUUGGCCUAUUUAGCUUUUAAUAUUUUUAUUUUUUGCCCAUUUUAGUUGAGUGAGGUUUGUCCCACACGAUUUUUUCGGAACAUUUCUCUAUUGAUCCAUUAAGCUUUUGGUCUAGCAGCAAAGCAAUUUGUCUGGAACUCAUAAACGGCCACAAAGAACCAAAUUCAAAUCACCAUUGCCCAGAUUAAUGAAUUCAAAUACAUAAUUUAUAUAUCCCAUCACAUUUGACAUGGUAAUAUACAAUAUAUUAUAUACUCGUACAAACUCUCAUAGCAGCAAGGAGUAAACACCUGCACCCAAUUACUAAAUCUCUUCCAAUACCACUACCUAUAUAUGAUGACAUUUGCAGCAAUCUUCCAUCAUUUCUCAUACAAGUUCCAACAUAGAAAGAUAUGAGAUCUGGGAACAUGUCUGAAUGUCCAACACCCACAGGCUCUUGUUCCUGCAUUGUUGUAGUAAGAACAAAUUUAGAAGUGAACUACUAAAAGUUUCAGAAGUAACUACCAAUAGAGCUAUAGUUUCAGGUCACAGCUUUAUUAAUAUUCAACCAGCACUAGGGUGACUCCAGUUCUCAGUUACAAGUUUCAGGAAAGAAUGCAAAUGUGAGAUUAUUUCAUUGUUGACUAAGAAUUUCAAGUUUGACUGAAGAAUGGCUGCAAAUGGAACUACAGUGCAAAAAAAAGGAACUGCAGGUAAUCAGGUAACUAGCCAUUCAAUUUGGGAAAUUAAGAUGACAAGGCAGCAACUAGACUGCAUAAUGACCAAUUUAGCAAUGAUUUACACGUGCUUAUCUAAUAUUGAAUUCUUGCAUGUAACCGUACAAAGCAUGAGUUUCACUUUUGCCCAGGCGAGCUAGAUGACCACAUAAAGAGAGCACCUAAAAAGCCAACAUGAGCUACUAAGCAACCAUGAACAUCCCAUCGGUAUUUGCAUCCAAUAAACAAAAUAUUACAUAAGAGUAACUACCAUUAAAAUAAAUAGAUGUAACAAACUCCACUGACCAUCGGAAACAGUAAGCAUAGAGAUGCAGUUCAUGGGAUCCAAAAAUACAGACAUACAAGACACAGGCCGAUAGCAGCCUAGCCUAUUGACGAGUAUAUUUACGCAGAAAUUAGACAAAGGAGAUGUAAGUUCACAUAUAGCUAGAACUUUGUCAACCAGUCUGGUGCUAGUGUGCACAUAUAUCAGCCUAGCCUAUUGCCUAAUUUGCUAAACAAUGCAGUGAUAAUGACUGACCAAAACAGAAUAGCACAAAGCCAUGAGUCUAAACAAUUUAGGGACAAUGACGGACUAAUCAAACAAUAACGCACAUAGUUGCUAAUUUGGAAUUAUGAAAAAAAAAUACUUAACUUCCUCUUAAUAUCCCCAAUCUAGUGAACCAGCUUCUGUCAUGCUAAUCACUUGAACUGUAUGCUCUCUUACUGAAACUGAACUGCAAGAAGAAAAACAAAUACAUCAGAAUUUGGUUGGGAAAAAAGAAGCAAACACAAACAAGGCUAAACAGGAGGGAGAAGAUACUGCAAACAUCGCACCAGUGGUUCUGGGGAACGGGUCGAUGAAGGAUGCUUCGCAGCUCGUGGACCUCCACAAGUUGGCCAUGGUGUAAGUAAAGGAGGCCAGCCAUUGGAUCUCUACUCGACCAGCACCUCCACCCCUGCGGCAACUCCAGAUACGAGCUCAGGUAGCUCAAGUCUAGUACUGCUCGCGCCGUUGCCGGGUCUGCGUGACGCCGACGCGCCACCCCCAAGAUAUGAGCCCAUGCUAUUCUUGUCGCCACCACUCCAGAGAUGAGCCCAAGCACCGAUGAAGGGAUGCCUGACUGCUUGAGGAAGGACCGAAGGAUCCACCCGCUCGCAUCGGUUCUUGGCCCUCCUGCACCUCGUCGGUGGAAAUAAGAUCGAGAGGAAGAUGGCAGCGCUCGCUCCACCUGGCAUCGCUGCCUUUCGCCCACUUACUCUCUCCCAGCGGCGACCGCGCGUCAAAAUUGGAAGAGAAGGGAAAGGAGUAAAUCAUUUUAGGGUUUGGCGAGGCUGAUGGCUGGAGCUGGUUUUGUUUCGGUUUGGACAAAUUUUGGCCGUUCGAUUCACAUCAAGGGCUCAGAUCAUACACAACCAUGACACGCCUACGGGUUUCAGUGUCACAAAAUCAAAAUUGAGGCCCAAGCCCAGGUUGGGAGCUUAGAAACCUAGAAUUUGGCCCAAAAAAUUUAAAACUUGAAUUAAGAAAUAUAAAAAAUUUGAAUCAAAUUUUAUAAUAUUAAAUGGACUCAAAUUAAAAAGUUAUCAACAAAAAAGUUGUAGAACCUACCUUGAUCUAUGACAUUUAUCUUUUAUUUCUACAUCUCACUUUGUGUGAACCAUUUGAAAUUUGAAUUUUAAAAUAUGAAAACAUCAAAUAGAAUUUUGUGACAUCAAAUUGAACUUUGUGACAUUUAUCUUUUUUAUUUCUACAUAUCACUUUGUUUGAACCAUUUGAAAUUGUGUGAACAAUGUUGUAGCGAAUUUGUGAACUAUGUGAACAAUUACACACAUGAUUAAAGAACCAUUAAAUGUUUCUUUAUGUGUUUUUUUUAAAUAAUGGAUGCAUCCCACUAUACUUCUUAAACGACCAACUGUCCAUCGCUGCUUUGGUAUUUUAGCGACCCUUCACAUCACACGGCUGCAUAUUUUGUCUAUGUUUUUUGAUGUAGUGAGUAGGCUAUAUAAAAUAAAACCCCGCAUUUAACAAUGUGGGAUGUGAAACAUAGACAACAUGGGAUGAAAUUUGUUGGAAUGUGGGAUGUGAAACAUAGACAACAUGGGAUGAAAUAUGUUGGAAAGAUAUAAAAAUAAAAAACAAUAUGGGUCAACCCAACCACACGGCGAUUGAACAUGCUAACAUGGAGAACAACGUUUUAAGAUAUCAACAAAAUAAUGUUUGACGCACAAACUUUGUCAUAAGUUGAUGGCAUUUGUAAAUUAGUCUUUGUGACACACAAAGUGCCUCCGUGACAUUGAAAGUAUUGUCAUUGGAUGGAAUUGGACUAGUAAUAUGACGUUUUUUUGUGACAUACAACUUUUUAUUGUCACUAAGACAUGGUGCCAAAAAUAUAAUGUCAUAAACCUUAUGAUAUAAUGACAUAUUCACCUAUUGUCAUACUAAAUACGUCAAAAAACCACACAUUUCUUAAGCGUCAUAGGCCUGUAGAGCCUUAACAUGGAGGAGGGAGCCAGCGAUGGGGAGGAGUGUGGUCAUGGAGGCCACAGGCCGGAGGCCGGACGACCUACCCACCACCGAUGGAUCUAGUCCUAGGGGAGGCGGGGUUGGGCUAGAGGAAGUUCGUGAGGGUAGAGGGAGGCAGCAGCGGGGAUGGAGGAUGGCGGCACCUACACGGGAGGAGGGGGUGAGUGCACCUAUAUACGCACGGGAGGAGGAAGGGACAGACAGGGAACGCAAACUGGCAAUUUCCAUAUAGGCCUGAGCUCACGUUUCAACCAUCAUUGUGGCCGAUCCAUGAAUGUGCGAUCACGUUCAGGAGUCCAUCGUGGCCUCCGACCUGUUUGGCAGGAUUAUCAGGUUCUAUCGGUCACAAUAACGUGGAAACACAGAAAUAAACGGGGCCUUCAUUUCCUCAUCUGCGUGAUUAAUGAGGAUUCAUUGAUAUGUAAUAGUAUAUAAAUUUGUGUGACUAUUAUUACUACGUAAGACUAUUACUACUACCCAAACCUUAUCACCACUGAUUCAUAAAUCCCCAUCAGUACUGAUUUCAAACUUCAAUGGUGAAAAUGGAUAUCAAGCAUUCCAAGCUUCUUUUGCUAGUAACAAAAAUUUCAAGCUUCUUUUGUUGAUGCAAUACCUUUUCUUCUUAAGUUCUUGAGCCGAAAAUAUCCUAUGAUUCCCUAUCAGCUUGAUUUGCCCUUUCUCCAACAAAUAGUCAAAAAUUUUGUUAGCUUUAGUGAUAUCAAGUUGAGCUCCUUUUUCUCUUCUUCUGUAGACUUGUUCUUGGCCCAUGGAAUAUACUGAAAAUAUUUCCAAACCUAAUCUACAGCAGCUACUUCAUCACUCUCAACUUCCUCAUCACUGUUAUCGACUAUAUCUGAAUCAGACUCAGCCAACAUUACCAAUCUUCUGGGGCUUAUCAAAGCAUGCAUAUCUAAACUGUGCCUCCAUGCUAGAUAAUUUUCUGGCCAAAGUAGCCAAAUUGGGAGAGUCAAAUACAAUUUCGUCCUUGAUAGCUAGUAUUAGCCCUCGAUUCACAAUGCUAACCAAUUCAGUGUAAUACCCGAUUUUAAGGACAAAACCAGAUAUGCACCAUAUGUGAGUUUUAAAAGCCAAAUCUCACAUAUAGCUACAAAUAAGGGGUAAUAUCAAAAGACAAUGCAUCAAUAUAUAGCGUACUUAAUCUUUAAUAGCAAACAGCGGAUAGACAACUCCAAACUUCGGGUAUUAACUUCACUCUACAUGAUCCAACUGACUGGUUGAUCACAAGCCCAAAACUUCUCCUGAGGGGUGUGGGGAAAUAGCAAGAGUGAGUCCAUGUCGAACUCCACAAGUAUAGCAACUAGAUUGUAUAGAUCCCACAAUCUCAUGAUUAAUGUGACAUAAAUAAUGUAAAAUCAUUAAACAAUAAAUAAUGAACAUAAAUAACACAUAAGAAUCAUCAUCGUCGAUGCAAGAAUCCCCAAUGCCGCUCUUGACCGUGAGCACGGCUAGUAUACCAGUUUUACACUCUGCAGAGGUUGUACAUCUUUACCCAUGAGUCAUGAUUUACCCUUUCGCCCGAGGUGAUCAGCCUCUUAACCCACUUCCAAGGAAGGUCGGCAGGGAUCACUAUGAAGCCUUUCAAAGGUAUCGUCUAACAAGUUAGGGCCAUUAGAUUCACUCAGCAGGCAGAUAUAGAGCCCCCCUUCCAUGGCACAUAACCCGCAACCUAUACACAUGGACAGAGGCCACACUAUACCCAACGUGUCUAGCCAUUCUUACGCCAUUUAAGGUAACCGCUAACAAGCUAGAAAAAGGUCCUCAUACUGAGCUAAAGCUAGAGCCAUUAUAGCCCUCAUGGUUGCACUGUUGUCCCGAUUAUCACUUACAGAUAAAUCAUCAAGUUGCUAAAAAGAUAUUUUUAUCGUUUAUUACUUAACAUUAAUCUAGCCACAAGAUCAUGGUCACAGAAAUAAAACUCAAAUGCUAUACUUGCCUUGAUCCAAAUGCUCUUCCUUAUCCUUUUGGUUCUGCUGGUCUUUACUUCUUGCCAAAGCUCUUAUCUUGAUCAUCAAAAACUGCUCACCGUCUAAUCACGUUCAUCGAUCACCAACACACAACAAUCGGAACCAAACAUACACGAAGCAAACAAAGCUACAAUUAGAACAGUACACCAAACAUGUAAAAUCAGUAUGAAAAGUUUAUAAAAUGAUUCUACGUAUUGCUACGAUCUCAUAGACGUAAAGAUCAUGAAAAUCGGAGUUCAAACGGAGAAUAUAUGAAUUUUCUAAGAUUUUAUAUAGAAAAGUAAUUAAUUAACUAGGAUCACGAAAUUAAAAGGUUUCAAACUGAGAAAACAGUGUUAAUAACAUGUAGAGCUCAUGAAAACAAACCUAACGCAAUUUGAAUGGACCAAAACGGAGUUAAGAUGAACAUUUUAUGAGCAAAAUACUUUCAGUGGCAAAACUGUAAUUUUGGGAAAACGUACUUUCAACUAAGGAAUAGUUUUUGAAUUCAGAAAGCGUAAACCUGAGAUGGCGCUUUGGAUCGUGGGUUUAAUUUGGGAAAAACCUAGGGGCUCUUUAUGAAAAUAUGCCCUGAAAGGGUUAUGUUCUUUUCUAGGCAGCAGAUCGCGUGAUGGACGGCUGGAGAUCGCCCUGGGCACCCGCAGUGGCCGCCGGCCGGCCGGAGCUGCGCGGAGGCGCCAUGGCCGCCGCCUUAGAGCUCGCCGGAGUUAGCCAUUCUCACGAUUCUGUGUACCAAAAGCCAAGCCGCGGGCACGGGAAGGAGGAGCAGCCCGCGAACUCACCUAGCGUCUUUGGUCGGGCCGAGAGGGAGCGAGAAGCUCGCGUUGCGACGGGGGGAAGAGUGCGGUCUUCGGCGAGAUCCGGUUUGCAACCAAAUGGCGGCUAGGGCUUGGAAAAAAACGCUCGGUUAGAGAAAAGAGGUGCAGGGCAAGGUUGAUGGCCUUUAUAUGGAUCGGGAAGAUCAAAUCCCUUCCAAAUCAGGAUUUCUUUCCGUGACCGGUGUCGAGUCCGGCCCGGCUGCGUGCGCUGGAGAAGAAGGAAGCAGGGUGAGGUGACUGACACGCGGGGCUAGUGCGGCAGAGAGAGAAGGGACGGGGCCCGGACGUCAGCCGAAGGAAGAAGGGAGGAGGAGGUCAGCGCGCGGUUGGGCCGGCUCCUGGGCCGUGCGCUGGGCCAAGGCGGGGGAAGGGGGAGGCUCGGGCUGCGGCCUGGUUACCAGGGAGGCUUUCUUUCUCUUUUUUUUCUUCUUUGUUUUCUUUUUCUUGCUUUUCAAAACAUUUUCUAAGAGCUUUUAUCCAUAAAUAAAGUCCAACCAAAAUAGUCAACACACAAAAAAAUAAGAUAUGCUCCAGCAUGUAUGCACAAGCAUGUCUCUAACUUUAUGAUAAAUUUUAAUUUCAACAAAAUUUACUUAUUUACUAAUUUAAAUGCUCACAAAAAUACUUAAAUAAAUUAAAUUAAAUCCUAUUUAUUUAAAACAGAUUUUUGGGUGUUACAAAUUCUACCCCCCUUAAAAGAAUCUCGUCCUCGAGAUUUGGAAGAGCACGGAUUCCAAAAGAGAAACAGGAAAAGAUCUUAAUACUCUUUCAACUUCACACUUGCAUUCCAACUGCAAACACUUGUGUCUCGGGAUCAUAACUUAUGAACAAAGUUUCCAUAGGAUGUUUAUUAUUUAUAGCUGAUUAAAUCUAUCUUGACUACCAACUUUUUGACUUAAACAACUCGAGGACAUGAUAGCUUAGCAUGGAUAUGCCUCCUCAGGUAGGAGCAGACCACCUUGAUACUCAAUUCUUUUCCCUGAUGGUGCGGUUAAGAAAAUUUUCCACUGGGUAGCAUAGAUCACUGCCUUGUGUGCACAUAACCAUCCAUUGCCAAGAACCAAAGGAAUGUUGAGUGACUCUAGCACAAUGAGGUUUAUUGUGAAGUUCUCCUUGCUUAUGACCAGAUUAAUAUUCGAGCAAACCUGGUCUGCCUGUAUUUCUCUGUUUGGAGUUUGAACUACAAAGGCUUCCUUGUUGGACACUUCACACACUCAAUUGUCUUUACCAAGUUGGCAGAAAUGAAAGAAUGGGAAGCACUUCGUUCAAACAGAGCAAAAACUAACACUGAGUCCACUUGAACAUAUCCACCCACCACUUUGGUGGCUCCUUGAAUGUUAUUCAUAUCCACAUUGUUCAGUCUUCCAUUGAUAUAAUUUUGCUGUACUUUAUUUCCGUGAGCAGGCUUCUUACGGGCUUUCCUUUUACGCUUCCGUCGUUGUGGAUUCUGAUUUGAUUCAAUGUCAACUUGCUCUUCCGUAUUAUUAUUUUGAUAACACUCAGCUUUGUCAUACUCAUAGCAUCUUUCUUCAAAGGCAAAAUGAUCAUAUUCUUCCCACCUAUCCAUGAGAGGCAUCAUAUUGUGCUCUGGAUUCAUGGGACACUACACCCCCUGUCAUCAAAUGACCAAUUUCAGUAACACGGCAAGGAUGGAUGAUCAUAACCAUAGAAUAUCUCAGAAGACAAUUAUCACUUCAAGAUAAAUUAAAUAUGCAUCAUCCAGUGAUAUCAAGGUACUACCCCCCUUAAGACGAGGUUGAAUGGGGGACACUAGGGACUAGUCCUAUCCUUUUUGGAUGCUACACAUCAUAGUCUUUUAAAUUCAUUGUACCGAGUCUCUUGAUCCAAGGUUAGUUUCAUCACUAAGUUCCAAUUAUCGGUACCUUUAUCAUGGUUAAGUUGCUUCACUCUCAUAUUGUACACAUAGCUUUGUAGACUUUAGUGUCAUCUGAUCCUCAUACACAACCAUUAAUCCAUGAGUACCAGCAAUGACAUAUAUCUCUAAUAAUAUUCUCUAAAUGGGAUGAUAUCUUGAGUCAGAACCAAUUUACCAAGCACUUGUGAUCCUAAUAGAUGUUCCAGUCUUUAACCACUUCUUCUCCUUGUAGCUCCUUUAAUUAGGCUACCCCCCUUAAAAGGGUCAACUAGGGGACACAAGAAAAGUAGCUUGCAUGUUUUCCAGACUAGUUAACUAACAUUGAGAACCUCGGACAUCCCAAGAACUUAUGUACAAGAGAACAAACAGGUAUCCUGGAAUUUUCCUCUUGAUAUGAAAACACUGGCAUAGUAAAACAGGUAUAACUCUUACUUUGUUAAUCCAAUAGAGUUAUAGCUUAUACCGUUAGAAAACUUAUGAAGUUCUCUACCACUUUAAUGUAGAAGACCUUAUUAGGUUCUGUAUUUAAGCUUAGCUAAAACAACCAAACUUAAUAUCCAUACUGAAAAUGUCUCAGCAAAGGUGCAAUAAAUUCCAGAAAUUAUAUCUUGAGCUUAUUAACUCAUCUAGAGAUGAUCCUUACAUUUUUCAAAAGCUUAGGAAAUCCUCUACAACUUUCAUAUACCAUGUUUUCCCAGAUUCUGUAUUUAACUUGGCCGAAAGUAGGGAAUACCAAAACUGUCCAGACUUUGAUACAGAACAGAAACAUCCAAUUUUAAAUAUCAUAUCUCAGGUUAUACUUAGCCAAAUAAGUUCCAGCUUAUACCGUUGAAAAGCUUAGCAAAUCUUCUAUAACUUUUAUAUAGAACACUUUUCCAAAUUCUAUAGUUAUAUUUGUCUCAAGCAGCAAGUUCCCGAAAUUGGUCCAGAUUCUGGACAGCGCAGCUGCAUCAACUUGUGAUUUUCAUAACUCCAAUUCCAAAAUAGAUAAUGGGGUCAUUCUUGAGGUCAAAGAAAGAUCUUGGAGUCUAGUUGUUCCCAGAAAAAUUUGAUAAACUUUGCUUGAUCCGAACUUGAGAUACACCAGAAUUAUUACAGACUGCUCCAGAAAACAGCAAGGGAUAGAAACAAGAGAUAGCCAAACCCAACUACUUAUUUCAUUAAUCCUUAUGCCUUGGACCUAUAAACUAAUGAAAUUGUGAAGAAAUCCCACAAGAUCAUAGCAAUCAUUACAAAGAUCCAAAUCAAGCAUAAACAUAAUAACAACUCAAUGAAGCAUUGAAGGUUCACACUUCACUCAACUUGUGAUACUAUCGUUCUCUCCAUAGCAAGGGUAGAGAUUCUAAAACUCCUAUUUCAAUGACGCCAGAAGGUAGUAAGAAAAGGUUCUAAUAGCAUACCAAUGAAGGAGUGAAGGUGAGAACAAGUACUUUUAAAAUAAGCAAUAAGGUAGAGACAAAUAGCAAGGAUAAAGAUAUAGUAUGGAUGAAAAUACCAAGAUUUAUAGAGCAAUGAUUUUAUGACAAUUCCAAAACCUUAAGACGACCAAUUAAUAACUAGGCUUGCGUCCUACAGCCAGCAUUGCUUUGAUACCACUUCGUAAUACCCGAUUUUAAGGACAAAACCAGAUAUGCACCAUAUGUAAGUUUUAAAAGCCAAAUCUCACAUAUAGCUACAAAUAAGGGGUAAUAUCAAAAGACAAUGCAUAAAUAUAUAGCAUACUUAGUAUAAAAGAGAUAACCUUUAAUAGCAAACAGCGGAUAGACAACUCCAAACUUCGGGUAUUAACUUCACUCUACAUGAUCCAACUGACUGGUUGAUCACAAGCUCAAAACUUCUCCUGAGGGGUGUGGGAAAAUAGCAAGAGUGAGUCCAUGUCGAACUCCACAAGUAUAGCAACUAGAUUGUAUAGAUCCCACAAUCUCAUGAUUAAUGUGACAUAAAUAAUGUAAAUCAUUAAACAAUAAAUAAUGAACAUAAAUAACACAUAAGAAUCAUCGUCGUCGAUGCAAGAAUCCCCAAGGCCGCUCUUGACCGUGAGCAUGGCUAGUAUACCAGUUUUACACUCUACAGAGGUUGUACAUCUUUACCCAUGAGUCAUGAUUGACCCUUUCGCCCGAGGUGAUCAGCCUCUUAACCCACUUCCAAGGAAGGUCAGCAGGGAUCACUAUGAAGCCUUUCAAAGGUUUCAUCUAACAAGUUAGGGCCAUUAGAUUCACUCGGCAGGCACAUAUAGAGCCCCCCUUCCAUGGCACAUAACCCGCAGCCUAUACACACAGACAGAGGCCACACUAUACCCAACGUGUCUAGCCAUUCUUACGCCAUUUAAGGUAACCGCUAACAAGCUAGAAAAAGGUUCUCAUACUGAGCUAAAGCCAGAGCCAUUAUAGCCCUCAUGGUUGCACUGUUGUCCCGGUUAUCACUUACAGAUAAAUCAUCAAGUUGCUAAAAAGUCAUUUUUAUCGUUUAUUACUUAACAUUAAUCUAGCCACAUGAUCAUGGUCACACAAAUAAAACCCAAAUGCUAUACUUGCCUUGAUCCAAAUGCUCUUGAUUAUCCUUUUGGUUCUGCUAGUCUUUACUUCUUGCCAAAGCUCUUAUCUUGAUCACCAAAAACUGCUCACCGUCUAAUCACGAUCAUCGAUCACCAACACACAACAAUCGGAACCAAACAUACACGAAGCAAACAAAGCUACAAUUGGAACAGUACACCAAACAUGUAAAAUCAGUAUGAAAAGUUGAUAAAAUGAUUCUACGCAUUGCUACGAUCUCACAGACGUAAAGAUCAUGAAAAUCGGAGUCCAAACGGAGAAUAUAUGAAUUUCCUAAGAUUUUAUAUAGAAAAGUAAUUAAUUAACUAGGAUCACGAAAUUAAAAGGUUUCAAACUGAGAAAACAAUGUUACUAACAUGUAGAGCUCAUGAAAACAAACCUAACGCAAUUUGAAUGGACCAAAACGGAGUUAAGAUGAGAGCAAAAUACUUUUAGUGGCAAAACUGUAAUUUCGAGAAAACGUACUUUGAACUAACCGAUCGGGGAAUACGUUUUUGAAUUCAGAAAGCGUAAACCUGAGAUGGUGCUUUGGAUCGCGGGUUUAAUUUGGGAAAAACCCAGGGGCUCUUUAUGAAAAUACGCCCCGAAGGGGUAUGUUCUUUUCUAGGCCGCAGAUCACGCGAUGGACGGCUGGAGAUGGCCCUGGGCACCGGCAGUGGCCGCCGGCCAGCCGGAGCUGCGCGCUGGCGCGGAGGCGCCAUGGCCGCCGCCUUAGAGCUCGCCGGAGUUAGCCAUUCUCACGAUUCUGUGCACCAAAAGCCAAGCUGCGGGCACGGGAAGAAGGAGCAGCCCGCGAACUCACCUAGCGUCUUUGGUCGGGCCGAGAGGGAGCGAGAAGCUCGCGUCGCGACGGGGGAAGAGUGCGGUCUUCGGCGGGAUCCGGUUUGCAACCAAACGGCGGCUAGGGCUUGGAAAAAACGCUUGGGUAGAGAAAAGAGGUGCGGGGCAAGGUUGAUGGCCUUUAUAGGGAUCGGGAAGAUCAAAUCCCUUCCAAAUCGGGAUUUCUUUCCGUGACCGGUGUCGAGUCCGGCCCGGCUGCGUGCGCUGGAGAAGAAGGAAGCAGGGAGAGGUGACUGACACGCGGGGCCACUGCGGCAGAGAGAGAAGGGGCGGGGCCCGGACAUCAGCCGAAGGAAGAAGGGAGGAGGAGGUCAGCGCGCGGUUGGGCCGGCUCCUGGGCCGUGCGCUGGGCCAAGGCGGGCGAAGGGGGAGGCUCGGGCUGCGGCCUGGUUACCAGGGAGGCUUUCUUUCUCUUUUUUUUUUCUUCUUUGUUUUUUUUUUCUUGCUUUUCAAAACAUUUUCUAAGAGAGCUUUUAUCCAUAAAUAAAGUCCAACCAAAACAGUCAACACACAAAAAAAUAAGAUAUGCUCCAGCAUGUAUGCACAAGCAUGUCUCUAACUUUAUGAUAAAUUUUAAUUUCAACAAAAUUUACUUAUUUACUAAUUUAAAUGCUCACAAAAAUACUUAAAUAAAUCAAAUUAAAUCCUAUUUAUUUAAAACAGAUUUUUGGGUGUUACAUUCAGCUUCUAAAAGUGUUAUAGCAUUGAUUCCUAACCUCUUUAAACCUCUGGAGGUGAUGAAGUGCAGAUUCAUUAUUUCUUUGCCUCACAUCGACUAAAUCUAUAAUGCUCUUUUCCAUGAUUCCUGAAGCAAAGUAAUGAUGAAACUUGGUUUCCAGAUCUUUCCAUCCUUUAAUGGAAUUAUGUGGCAAAUAUGCGAACCAUGAGAAUGCUGGUCCAGACAAAGAAAGAGAGAAGAACAUCACUACAAACACAGGCUCAUCAGCAAUCUCCCUAAGUUGAGCCAAAUACUGGCUAAUGUGUUUCAUAGUUGAUGUUGAGCCUAUUCCUGUGAACUUAACAAAAUCAGGCAGCCUAUAUCUUGGUGGUAAAAACAUUUGAUCAAACCAUUCUGGAUAUGGUUUUCUGUAUGAGACUGUCGUAUUCUUGGGCUUUAGACCAAACUAUCGUUGAACCAUGUUAGUUACUUGAUUCAUAGCUGAUCUAUCUGAAAUUGAGCUCCUUGUUGAUUGUUUGGUUCUACAUAACCAUUAUUCUGCAUUCUUUGAUGAUUAGGCUGAUAUCUAGGAUUCUCACAACCAUUCAGAGUAUAAUGUUUAGAAACAUAAUGAUAGCCAGGGGGUACUUCUCCAGGUGCUACUCUUCCUUGAUAUGGUGGAGCGUUGAAAACUCUGGUGAAAGCCCUAGUUUGGUUUUGGAUAAUUGAUGAAACCCUAGUACUAACCUCUAUACUAAGUGUGUUUAGACUCAAUGAGGUUGGUCCAUGCCUAAGUGUUGGAGCAAGUGAUGAUCAUGGUGAUGAUAGUGAUGACCACAAGAUGAUCAAGUGCUCAACUUGGAAAAGAAGAAAGAGAAAAACAAAACCCUAUGGAGAUCAAGGCAAAGGUAUUGCUUAGGGUUUUAGUUUUGGUGAUCAAGACACCAUAGAGGGUGUGAUCACAUUUAGGAUAGAUAGCCGUACUAUAAAGAGGGGAAUUCUUUGGCUAAGCGGUUAUCAAGUGCCACUAGGUGUCAUUGUUCAUGUGCAUGCAUUUAGAACCUAGUGAGCUAACUUAACUCCUUCGAGUAAAAUGAUUGUGAAAAUGCUAACACAUGUGCACUUGUUGGUUUACACAUUGUGGUGUUGGCACACUUUGAGAAGGAGGUGGAGUUUGAAGGGUAGAGAGUGAGCGUCCGGUGGUGUGCGUCUGGUGGCCUGCGCGUUUUGCAGACCUCUCUGUGUUUAAGACCGGUGUGCACCGGACGCGUGACUGGGUCCGGUGCUCUGCAGGUGACCAUUAGAGAUCGACACGCAAAAGUGAAAAAGGCAAUACGUGGCAGUUUUUAGGGCACUGGACGCAGGGCUUGAGCGUCCAGUGGUUCCCUACGGUGCGUCCGGUGACCCCGUAUUUCGCCCAGUGAAAGAGCCAACGGCUCUAUUUGUUUGAGGGGCUUAUAAAUACGUGUUGGCCGGCUUGGGGCUCACUCCCUUGUCAUUCUAACAUACUUGACAUCCAUGUGAGCCUAAGCAAAUGAAGUGUAUAUCUUCUAUUGCGCUGGUGGGAAAAUUUGGAGAAGUCGCGGGCACCGGACGCUGGCCCAGAAGCACCGGACGCAGUGCCUGUGCAUCCGGUGUGCAGGCUGCCUGGCUCAGCUAGGGUUAGGUACCGGACGCAGGUUGGAGCGUCCGGUGUUCUGAGUCCGGUGUUCGCGCGUUUUGCAUUGCUCCCUGGAUUUAAGUCCGGUGAGCACCGGAUGGUCCGAUGCUCAGCGUCCGGUAACCCUGCGCGUUUGCAGACCUCCCUGAGUUUAGGACCGGUGUGCACCGGACGCGUCCGGUGCCAAGUUAAGAGCGUCCGGUGCUCUGCAGGUUACCGUUAGAAACUGACGCAAGAAAUUCAAAAGGCGACAUGUGGCCGUUUCUAGAGCACCGGACGCAGGGGUUGAGCGUCCGGUGCCACCUGAAUAGCGUCCGGUGACCCUGAGUUUUGCCCAGUGAAAGAGCCAACGGCUCUAUUUGCUUGAGGGGCUUAUAAAUAUGUGUUGGCCGGCUUAGGGCUCAACCUCUUGGCAUUCUAGCAUACUUGACAUCCUUGUGAGCCUAAGCAAACACCUCCCACUCAUCUCCUUCAUAGAUUAAACAUCUUUGUGAGAUUGAGAGUGAUUCCAAGUUCAUUUGCUUGAGUGAUUGCAUCUAGUGGCACUUGGGGAUCGAUUUGGCUGCGAUUUUCUUGUUACUUUUGGUGGUUUCCGCCACCUAGAUGGUUUGGAGCAGCGGAGGAGCAUUGGCAUGAGUUGGUGAUUGUUCGUGGCCAUCUCCCGGUGAUUGUGAGGGGUCUUGUACCUUUCCCGGCGGAGAGCCAAAAGGUAACUCUAGUAAAGUGCUCGUGUCAUUGAGCUAUCUCACUUGUGGGUAGGUUCUUGUGGUGUCCUAGUGAGGACGAGGUUCGUUCUACACCUCUUAGCCACCGAACCACCAAGUGUUGGUCGACACAUUGGGGACGUAGCGUGCCGGCAAGCACGUGAACCUCGGGAGAAAAAUUAUUUGUCUCCAUUGUGUUGGUUGAUUGGAUUUCUCCCGGUGAUUGGACUUCAUUUUAUUGAUUGGUUCAUCCCCUCUACGCGGCGGUAUAAAGAUCAAACCAUCUCUCUUACAUCCCCGCAAACUAGAGUAGCUUACUUACUUGUAUAGAAACUUUAGAUAGCUCUCUAGUGUAAGUAGUGACAUAGCUCUUGUGUGCCUAGUGAUCAUAUGAACUAGAAUUGUUGGAUAGGUGGCUUGCAAACACCCCAUUAGAGCUAGAGCAAAAAGCUACGCUUUGUUAUUUACUAACCACUUGCUCUAGUGAGUUUUGUAGAAUUUUUAAGUAGGCUAUUCACCCCCCCCUCUAGCCGUAUUAGGACCUUUCACCUGGCAAGUCUUCUGCUGUGAGCAGUAAUUUUUGCAGCUGAAUGACCAUUAUUGUAAUCUAUUAUCGGUUGUUGCACUUACUGCUGAACAGUGUUACCUCCAAUAAAGUGUUGACUUCCAACUGCAGGUUCUCCGGACACUUGCUCUCAUAAUGUCUGUCCAACAAAUACUUGUCUAUUUCCAGCAGAGAAUAUGUUGGACUUCUAUUCUGUAUAUCUAGACUAAAAGCUUCUUUAAUGAAAUUAGUGAUGUCAUUCAGGAACAUCUCAUUAUGAUUAACCAAGGUUGCUACCAUGGUUUUGUUGAUAGUCUCAUACGUAGCGUUAUGUUGGAUCUGAACACUAGGAUCACAUUCUCCUUCCAAAAUUAUUCUCGGGAAAAGAGUCUUCUGGCUUACCUUCUUGUCCCUGUUUUUGUUGAAAGAAAGCAGACACUUCUCCUAGUAUUGCUUAAUAGUAGUAAUAACCAAUUCCUUCAAUGGAUCAUGGUGCUCAUCUAGAGUAACGUUGAGCACGUUGUUGUUCUCCAUGUUGUUGAUUUAUGGUCCCACUGGGUGUGCCACAAGAUGUUUUGGUGCAAAAAUUUGUUUCUUGCUCAACAAUCUCGGUGGCUCUCAGAGAGUGUGCAGAAACCGAAGUUCUACACCUCCUAAGCCUCAACGCACGGGCUUGGUGACUCGAUUCCAGGGCAUGCCAGUCAAUUUGACCUGAAAUUAACAAGGAAGCAAUACAAAUGUAAAAUUAUGGAACCUGUCGAUUAUUGCUAGACAAUUCUAGAAUGUAUGGCUCUAAGAAGCCGUUAAUAGAGGAAAUUGACUAAAAAGUAGACUCCUACUGAUGAUGCAUUAGGACAUUUGUUAUUAAGCUUUUUGAGCAAUUGAAUCUAUAGGUAAAAGUAACCGGAUCGGCUAUUUAGCCGAUAAGCUAUGUGUGAACAAGAGAUAGCUUACGUGUAUUUAUUCUUUUAUCAAUUAAAUAAAGAAUAACUUAUUAAAAUUGGUCUAAAGGUCUGGAGUUUCAAUAAAUUACUUUUAUAAACGUAUUAAAUUUAUAUUCACCUGGUCUAAAGGCCAGCGGGCUUCAAUAAAUUCAACACGAAUUAUUUGUUCAUUUAAUACCAUAAUCAGGUUCACGCACGUGCACUAUUCGUUUAAACUUAACUGGAUCCACUACUUAGCCAAUAUAGGGUCCAUGAAAUACGAACAAGAUCUAUCUACGUCAUCAUAACAGAAUUUAGUUUUAAUUACCAAAUUAAUCAUAAUAGAGUAAAUAUCUCAAAGGCACAACAUGUAACAAUCAAGAUCAACAGAUUAAUUAUCUUAAAUUUGCUUAAUGAUCAUUAUUUGCUUAGGGUUUACGGCAAGCGUUUAGAUUUUAAGUUCAAACUAAUCCGUCGAAUCUUGAUUGGGCAGAAUAUUGUUACAAUAAAUAAAACAUUAAUCUUUGAACAAUAUUGAUAACUUAAUAAAUCUAUUAAAUUGCCAAUUUAAUAGAGCCAAUAACUAACUCAAACCGAUAUUUGUAAGACAUUGGAGCAAUGUAGCCUUACAAAUACGGUCCAAGUCGAUAACUAGUUCAAAAUCGAGUUUGACAUGAGUUCGAAUGAUGCAGCCAUGACAAACUAAAUAUGAACCAUAACAAUACUUACAAGAAAACCGAAGAUCGAAAUCAACCGAUGCAGCUCGAUUUGUCGAAGGUCUUAUCGAGAUCUACUAUUACUCCUACUCCUAACGUUGGUGGCCCGAGCCAAAAAGGGUUUGUAUUAUGAUUGUGUAUAUUCUUACAAGGAUUGGAUUUCUAAUAUUUAUAGCCCAAAAACCUAGUUUCAAGUCCUAACACGACUAUUCGAAAAAGGUAAUCUGGACUCUAACUUUUCCUUCGUGAUGAAACCCGACACAUCUUCCACGCCUUGCCUUGAAUCGACAUCCUUCUAAUUGACUAUUUCCAUGCUCAUCUAGUCAAUCCACUUAUCCGGUUAUCCCUCCUUUCGUGAAGCAGGUCCAUAAGAUGUCCCUUGACUCGCCAAAAUUUGGGAUUAAUAGAAAUGGAUAAGAUAAAUCUCGAGAUUUAUUUUUAUAAAAUUUAUCAAACUCUUGCAAAAAUGUUCCGCAAUGGUUUUCAAUACCUACCACCUGUUGAGUACAUGAUUCAUAGAUAGAAAACCCCUACAAAGAGUGUCUUAUUUGUCUUGACUUAGUUAGACCUUAUUGAUCUAAGUAGAUAAACUGGUCAUGCUUUUUGGUCGAGAUCACGUACAUACGCACCUCUUUGCUACUUCUACACUAGAAGUACACAACCAAUAACUGCCUCAUGCACCCCCUUGCUAUUUUCACAUCAGGAAUUCGCAAGACUUUUAUAUAGAGAGUUUCUCUGUGAAGACACGAGCAUGGUUUACGUCCAAAAAAAGGGAUAGUAAUUCCCUAUAAGAGAAAACAAUGGGUACGUUGGUGCUCUGCGCUAAAAAUUCAUUAAACUUACCACCAUACUUUCACCUUUCUCUCCUUGUUGACAUUUCAUCAAACACCCUAGUGGCAUGUUGUGCCAGCUGAAGGCAAGCUCCUGCAGGCUUUCUUGGUCGACAUCUCAUGCGUGUGAUCUUGUCAUCAGGCUAUACUUCACCAUAGCCAUGGCUGCCGCCAAGCUCGACGCCUGCUCAGCGUUGCCAAUCUGUGGGAGCAUAGUGGCUCACUACCAUAAAACUGAAUACCCUUGAGGGUCAAAAACUCCCAAGGAAACCUCUAAAACCGCCAAAAAAAAUCAAUGUUGACGGCUAGCACUCAAGGAAUGGCCGCCAAGGGUUGCUGGCCACCACGAACCAAUUUCUUGAGGGUUGAACCGUCAUGGAAAUAAAUCAGUGCUCAGAUUUUUAACAUUGUCAAGAAAAUAUAACGACACCCAAGGAUAUAGGUUUCCUUGAGUGCCAAUGACACUCAAGAAAAUGUAAAAACACCCAAGGAUAUAGGUUUCCUUGAGUGCCAAUGACAUCCAAGAAAAUGUAAAAACACCUAAGGAUAGAUGUUUUCUUGAGUGCCGAUGACCCUCAAGGAUAUGCAUGGAAAAAAAGAAAUAAUCUCACAUUUGUUGUAGCUGAGAAUCAAACUCAUGACUUGAGAUUUUGGGUGAAACUAACUUACCACUACACCACAAAGUAUUUUGUGACUAAGUGAAUGUUUCUUUCUUUUUGUUUUCACUUUAGUGGAUCUUAUAAUGAAUAUUUGAGAACCUAAAUGAUUUCAAAUGAAAAAAGUUUGAAUUAUAAAGUUUUAUAUCUCAUCGAGUACUACAACUUUGGUUUAGCUUGUAUCUCUAUCUGAGGUCAUUUGAAAGAUUCAAAAAAUUUAAAGUUCAAAAUUCUAAUAAUUUAAAACAUAUUUUAUGGACCUCAAAUAAUUUCAAAUGAAAAUUUCAUCAACUAAGAAGUUGUAUAUCUCUUCGGGCUCUACAACUUUGAUAUAAACUUUGCCUCCAUAUGAUAUUAGUAUUUUACAUUUUAGCUUUAAAAUAAGCAGGCAUCUCAAGCUAAGUGCUAGUGUAUGCAUUCUCUAAUGCAUAACAACACAAAAUUAUAACUUUUAUUGGAUUAAUUUACUAAGAAAAAAUAUAUAUCAUUUUCCAAACAUGUCAAUGGAGCAUUUAUGUCUAUAAAAUGCAAUGUAUAACUAACAAGAAUGCAAUGAGUUCACUAUGUCGGUGGUUAAGAGAAAUAUGACUAUAAACUGAUUUUUCCCUUGGCAGCUAUAAUAAUUUACUUGAGGGUUUGCACCCAAAGAAACUAGAACUUCCUUGACAGUUUCUAGUUACACCCAAGGAAAUGCGAAUUACCUUUGGUGGUUUAUAAUAACACUCAAGGAAAUAUAGAAUUAUGUGGCGAUUUCGACUAGCACUCAAGGAAAUACAGAUUUAACUUGGCGGUUCUGUUUAGCACUCAAGAAUAUGCAUUUUCUUGGGGGUUUUAUACAACCCCCUCAAGGUAAUUAUACAUCCUUGGGGGUUUAAUUUCUCCCCUCAAGGAAAUUGCUGGCUCUCAAGGAUACUCAGUUUUCUGGUAGUGGCUGUGAUUUGGUCCUUAGAGAGUGAGUCCUUGGGGAACCGUACAACGAGAGUGAUAAGGGACUUAGAAUAGGUCCUAGGCGAGGCAGAGGAAGGAGGUGGUGGGGGCACCCCCGCGACGGGGGAUGUCGGCCUGAUGCAUAUAUGGGAGGAGGAGGAGGAGAAACCGUGUAGGAUGCGGGCGUCGGCCAUGGAGAUCAUACCAAGGAAUUAGGGCACCGUAUUAAGGUGCUGCCACGACAGGUGGCUACCACAAAUUGAAUUGGAAUUAGGGCACUGUAUUAAGGUGCUGCCACGACAGGUGGCUACCACAAGGAACCAUGUUUGCAUUGUCAUUAGGAGGAAGAGUGUGUGAGAGAGAGGCAGAGGGGGACGGAGAUCGAACACAUAUAGGAUAGAGAGGAGAUGAUGGGGCUGAGGAUCCACAUAUUCCAUGCACAGCCAUUAGUGGGGAGAUAAGCGGGGGCAUAUAUAGCCCAUAAGUGAGUGAAUGUAGCCCACCUAUCAAACACCUAGAGAAAACACAUAUAGUAGACAUGAGCAAUGAACACACAAGCUACUCUAAGGCCUUGUUCGUUUCAUCGGGAUUUAAGGCCUAGAACAAUUCCCAGUUGGAUUGGUUCACAAAUUUGUAUAAGAUUUAUCAGCUGGAACAAUUCCUGAUCCCAUUCCACCCUAAACGAACGGGGCCUAAGUGGGUUUUCAUCAUCGGUUCUUCUCCUGAACCGAUUUUUAAAAUGAUUUUUGUCAUCAGUUUUAUUCGAAAAAGAUGUUUAUAUAUUGUUACCAAUAGUUUUAAUAAAACCAAUGUAAAAACACUAUUGGCAAAAACUAUUGAUGUAAUAGUGUAUUAAAUGAUAAAUUGUUCCCUAUCCCUCGAUAGAACACUAGUACAAAGAAGCACUACGCUGGCGGUGUAAUAUAAUUUUUACAGGUGGUUUGAAUUAAACAACGCCUGUAGAAAGAAAUCGGCUUGCUCAACAAAGAAACCACCAGUGAAAAUCAUAUUUCUACAGGCGGUUUUCCUAAGAAACCGCAAGUGAAAAUCAUAUUUCUACAUGCGGUUUCUUAAGAAAACCGCCUAUAGAAAUAAUUUGAAAUUGCAUUUUUGAGCUUUUCAAAUGACCUCUUUUGGAAAAAUCGUUAAAAUAAAAGUUGUAGAUCUCAAAAAGUUAUGAAACUUUGUAGUUGAUAAGUUUUUCAUUUGAAAUCAUCUUGUCAUCGAAAACUAUGUUUGAAUUUCUCAAAUUUGAAAUUCAAAUUUUAUAAAUGACCUCGGAUGGAGAAGCUACCAAUACAAAAGUUGUAGAUCUUGAAAAGUUAUGAAACUUUGUGGUUAACAACUUUUCCAUUUGAAUCCGUUUAGGGCCUCAAAUAAUCAAUAUAUGCUCGGUUUAGGAUAAUAUGUGGAACUAAACUGUAAUAUAGACACAACUAAGUGAUGGUAGAGUGGUAAAGGAAGCUACGCGCGAGGGCGAGGUCUCAGGUUCGAAUCUUAGCAGCCGUGAAGCGCGCGAUUUUAUACGAAAAAAGUGUGACUAGCGGUUCUCAGGUACCCACCUGUGGAAAAAAUUAUUUCCAUGGGCACCCAACACAGGCGGUUCGCCAAUCUGCCUGUGAAAACGGGUUGGGAACCGUCUGUGUAGUGGUUCUGUUUACUAGUGGAAGCUUUGCAAGUUUAUAUAAACUGUUCCCUAUCCCUGGAUAGAUAUUUUAAAAGUUUGUAUACGGUAUAUCCAAAAUAACUCCUUUUUUAAGUUAUUAUCUAUAAAGAUGUGAAUCGAGUACUAUAACUUUGAUAUUGAAUAUCUUCAUUCAACAUUGUUAAUCAUCUUAAAUCUGAAUCUCAAUAGCUUAUAUUGAAUAUUUAGACUUGUAAACCAUUUUAAAUUAAAAACUUGUCAACUAUAAAGUUAUAGAUCUCUUUAAACUUUAUAAUUUUGAUAUAAAUUUUACCCUCAUCCAAUCUAAUACGAAAAAGUUAUGAACUUUUUGCAAACAUGCUAUCAUAGUCGAUUGUCCUAUCACUGCUAGUUGAAACCGUGAACCGAUAGUGACAGUCCGACUGUGAUUAUCAGUUGUGGCAUAGUGGCUUAAACCAGCCACCAAGCCUUGUACUAAAACUGCGAUCGAGGACUGUUCUACGGGUACUGGGCGAUUGCUCCUCUAGUUAAAGUCCCUAUAGCACUAUAUCCUAAAAAAGAUUCCUCAUCCGGUUAACGUCUUUAUUAUGGCACUAUUUCUCAAAAAUAUUUAAUAAACAUUUCUAAUAUGCAGAUUGUGCGCCUAACACUAGUACACUAAACCACUAUACAGACGGUUCCCAACCCUUUUCCACAGGCGGAUUGGAGAACUACCUGCGCUGGGUGCCUGUGGAAAUCAAGAGUUUCCACAGACGGGUAACUUAGACCGCCUUCUACAGGCGGUUCAGUUAUGCCACCCGCCUGUAGAAAUAAACUUUCUACAAGCGGUUUAGCUAUGCAACCCGUCUGUAGAAAUGAACUUUCUACAGGCGGUUCUCAUUAUAUAUCUGCCUGUGUUAAAAUUUUUAAAUCUCCCGCCCAUUUCUAAAUUUUCCCACCAGACUCUGAAAAUUACUUGUAAACAAGCUAACAAAUAGCAGAUAGCGGGUCUGUAUAGGUCUGACGUUUACAUGGCGGAUUGCGGGCGCUAUAGCGAAUGAUCAGUUCCAAUAAUGUUAUCUAAUAAUGUAUAUAUCUUAUAAAAAUGACUUUUUUACAAUUAACAAAUCAACUAAAUACAAACUAGUGAUAGACUAAUAAAUAUAACUUAAAUACUGUAAGUAGAUAUUUUAUUUUACUUUAUUUGAAUAGAGUUGAUCAAAUAUAUCUUAAAUUAUAAGUAUAAACUAGUUGCGUUAUGGACUUGGAUGGACUACUACAUUAAAUAAUGGCCGCUAUAGCAGCAAGCUGCAUCAAAUAACGAGCCAUAAGUUCCAAUCCACUGUGUUGUAGCAGUAGCGGUGGUAGGGUAAACUACCACUAAGGGCACUCACAAUGCAAGACUCUAUCACAGAGUCUAAGGCACUUAAUUACAUAUUAUUUAUGGUAUUUUACUGAUGUGGCAACAUAUUUAUUGAAGAAAGAGGUAGAAAAAAUAAGACUCCAAGUCUUAUUUAGACUCCAAGUCCACAUUGUUCGAGGUAAUAAAUAACUUUAGACUCUAUGAUAGAGUCUGCAUUGUGAGUGCCCUAAGGCCAUCCUUAAUGAGAGUUUCAUGACACAGUUUUCAACACAUCAAUAUUUUGGAAACAGUGCAUAAGAGUUUCAUGGGGAUGAAACUCUCUCUAGAAACUCUUAUCAUCUCUCUCUUCAUUAAUAUAGUGCCACAUCAGCAUAUUUAAUGUGUAUGAAACUCUAAUGAAAUUCCAUUGAGACUGGCCUAAUGCAACAACUAUAGCAGCCACUAUAAACACUAUUUAGUGCCUUGCUCAUAACACACACUCACGCUCUUCCAAAUUUAAGUUGUCUAAUGUAUCAAACAAUUUACAUUAAUCAGAGGUCUAGAUGGAUUCAAGCUCAAAUCCAAAUGCAACCAUCGCAACUCUUUGCGACACCUAUGUUGACCUCUCUUUUCUCUUCCCAUAAAGUAUGCAUGUAUAUAGGCUAGUGUAGGGUCAAGAUGACGAACUAGAUAGGGGUAAAUAGUUCUUUCAAAAACUUAUUAUCACACCAGUUAACUGAAAUAAAUGUGGAUAAAAACUAUUGGUCUAGCCAAGACUACACCCCUCUAUCUAAGUUCACAAGCACCUUAUAAAGAUCCUAAACAAGCAACUAAGGUGUCAUGCUUGCUUGAGCUUGCCUAACCAAUUCUAAAAGUAAGGUCACAC